rnacentral:lncRNA from 1 species
UUUUUCUUUUUUUUUUAUGUUGCAGAUCUAGUAGAUUGGUAAUAAAAAAAGAAUGUUGGGACAAAAGCAAAGUGAAGAAGCAAUAGUGUCGAAUUAUAACGAAAGUGAACAACGUCAUGUUGAGAAUAGAGAUGAAGAGAAAGAAGAAGAAAACCAGUCAUUGUUUAAUGUUAAGAAUCUACUUUGGCAUGGUGGUUCUGCUUGGGAUGCUUGGUUCAGCUGUGCUUCUAAUCAAGUACACCCCCCUCUUUCCCCCACUUACCCCUCACCACCAUUUCUUUUUGGUAUACUAGAAGUCACCCAACUAUAUUUUUUUUUGUCAUCUAAUUAUGAAAAUUUACAAGAUGACCACUCAAUUAUUCAAUUUUUUUUCUUUUUUAUCACCUACGGACUAACAUAAAAAUGAAAACACCAAAAUUUUUUAAGAUAGUUAGGUAACAAAAGUUUUUUUUACCCUUUCUUGUUAUACCAACUCGACAUGUUGAUGAAAAUAUCUUUAUAUGACAUGUCGUAUGAUUGAUAGAAAGUAAACACGUGGAGGGUGAAAAUAUUAACAAAAGUUAAUGAUUGUUCUUAGGUUUUUAAAUUGAAAAAAGUUCAAAUUUUAACUUUUUUUUUCAUAUAAGGGUUAAAUCUUGAAUUAUGCUAAAAUACAAGGAGUGUAGCAUAUUUUGACUUUUUUUUCUCCAAGAAUUUUUUAUGGAUAAAAUAUGCUUUGUGCCUUUGUAUUUUGAAAAAUAUUCGACAUUUAGUCCAUAUACUUAAAAAGUUAAAAAUAAUUAUCUUUCAAUUAAAAUCUUUAAUCCAAUCAUUAAAACUAAUAGUAUUUUUCAUCAAAAUUUACCAUAUAUGACAUGCCAUAUGUUUAUAAUCUGGACUAGAAUUUUCAAAUAAAAAAAAAAGUAAAAGGAUUUAAUUAUUUUCAAGUAUAUGGACUAAAUUUUGAACUUUGUCAAAGUACAGGUAUUGAUAGUAUAUUUAGACCCUUUUUCUUUUUUGUCUCUUAAAUUUACAUUAUUUAUUUUUUUGAUUCUUAUAGGUAGCACAAGUGUUGUUAACUCUACCAUAUUCAUUUUCUCAAUUGGGCAUGCUAUCUGGGAUUCUGCUACAAGUUUUCUAUGGAAUUAUUGGAAGUUGGACUGCAUACCUCAUAAGUGUACUCUAUAUUGAAUAUAGAAGCAGGAAAGAGAAAGAGAAUGUUAACUUCAAGAAUCAUGUCAUUCAGGUCUCGAACACUAACCGUUAAAUAUUUUGUAAAAAUAUUUUUUUAGUAGUAAUGUUAAACUAAAUCGUAACUUUUUAAAAUUUGCAGUGGUUCGAAGUGCUUGAUGGGUUAUUGGGUCCAUAUUGGAAGGCAUUAGGACUUGCCUUCAAUUGUACUUUCCUCUUAUUUGGAUCUGUCAUACAACUUAUAGGCUGUGCAAGGUUUGCAUCAAUCUCAAAACCCGGGUUUUUUAGGUCAAAUUAUGGUUUUGGUCCUUUUAUCGUAGAGGAUCAUAACUAUAAUUUGACUAUUUAUUUUAUUUCAUCUUAUUUUGAUGUAUUGGUUUAAUAACAGUAAUAUAUACUACGUUAAUGACAAAUUGGACAAGAGGACAUGGACCUACAUAUUUGGAGCUUGUUGUGCAACAACAGUUUUCAUACCAUCUUUUCACAACUACCGUAUUUGGUCUUUUCUUGGCCUUGGGAUGACCACUUAUACAGCUUGGUACUUGGCUAUUGCCGCCCUCGUUCACGGCCAGGUAAAAUUGUGCGGAACCAGUUGAAUCGAGUUAAAAAAUUUGAAUUAAAUUUUUUAAAGAUAUUUUAAAUAAUUUAUUUGAUCUCCAUCCCGGCCGGUUCGAUAAUGAUCUCCCAUUUCAUGCACUUGCAAAACCACCUUUUUCAAUGUUUUUUUCUUUGGUUAUUUUUUAGGCUGAGGGCGUGACGCAUAGCGGUCCGACAAAGCUUGUGCUUUAUUUCACCGGAGCCACCAACAUUCUCUACACUUUCGGCGGACAUGCCGUCACCGUGUAAGUCUUUUUAUCUACUUCGUGCUAAUUUAACAUUGCUUUUGAAAACCACUUUUAAAAAGUGCUCGAAACUUUGAUGAAUUACGACGAUUUCACUCUUUCUUUUUUCCUUUCUUUCUUUCCUAUUCUCCAUUUUAUCAAGGUCAAGAUAAUAUAAAUUAUGGGGUUCAAAAGGAAAAAAAUUUAGACUAAAAGGACCUAAAAUAAAUUAUAUGUUUUCAGUAAGGGCCAAAAGUAAAAUUUCACCGUAUUAUCCAAUGCCUUCCCCAUUUCUCUAGGAAGAUUUAACAGUGAACUGAACAUAGGGUUAAUUAUUCAAGUUGGUCCCUCUACUAUCCUCAACCUUUGGAUUUAAUUUUAUAUUUUAAUUUAACGUAGACCUUUAGCUGACCAUAAUUUCUCUAUCGUAGGCUCAAUAGUUCAUAGUUCAUUUCACCCCAAGAAAAUUACUAAAAUAUUAAGAGUAUUUUGGUCAUUUAACCAUGCUUCAUAAUUUAUAGUCAAUAUAAUGAACAUAAUUAUUGUUUUUUAUCACCUUCUUCAAUUUCAGGGUAAAAAAUAAUUAUUUGGUUGAAUUUUUUUUUAUUUUCAGGGAAAUUAUGCAUGCAAUGUGGAAGCCUCAAAAAUUCAAGUACAUAUAUUUAUUGGCCACACUUUACGUUUUUACCCUUACACUUCCGUCAGCUGCUGCCGUUUACUGGGCCUUCGGUGACGAACUCCUCAACCAUUCCAAUGCCUUCUCUCUCCUCCCUAAGAAUGGCUUCCGUGACGCCGCCGUUAUCUUAAUGCUUAUUCACCAGGUUGGGUCUAUUUCUGUUUUUGAUCCCUCCAUUUCAUUUUGGUAUAUAAUUUAGUUUCUUUACAUUAAUAAUGUCAUUAAUACGUAAAAAUUGAUAGUAUUGUUAACUAUUACAAUUAAAUUGAUGGUGCGAAUUUCCAUGAAUGCGUUAACGCUAUUAUCAAUUAUCAAUUAUCAAUUAACACUGGAUGGGUAAAAUAAUUGCAGGUCAAGUUGGUUUUCGAUCAAAUCAAUUUGGGUCAAGUUUUAGGUUCAUUUCUUCUCAUGUUUGAGUUUUGUUCAUUUUAAGUUUGGGUUAUUUUUCAAGCUGGGUAAAAUUAUAAGUUCGGAUUAUUUUAGGUUUUUUAUCACUUUAGUUUUGGGUUAUAUAAAGUUUAAGUUAUUUCGAGUUUGAAUAGUUUUGGGUUCACAUUAAUUUUUGUUUAGGGUUAGUUUAGGUUUAAGCUAAUUCAAAGUUAAGCUUUUUAACUUUUUUACGAUCAAAUCAGGUUUAGAUUUGAGUUGGUCGGGUUGGAUACUUUUAACACUUUAACAACACCUAUUAAGAGUGUUAUCCAUUCGGAUCUACAAAUAACAUUAUAAAAGUAGAAUGAUACAGUAUAAUUAAACCUGUAUUUCAAACCAAUUUAACAAAUUUUGACAUCAUGAAAUGGGGUAUUGCAGUUCAUAACAUUUGGGUUUGCUUGCACACCGCUGUACUUCGUGUGGGAGAAAGUAAUAGGGAUGCAUGACACUAAAAGCAUUUGUUUGAGGGCAUUGGCACGGCUGCCGGUGGUGAUCCCGAUAUGGUUCUUGGCCAUCAUCUUCCCAUUCUUCGGCCCCAUCAACUCGGCUGUCGGCGCUCUUUUGGUUAGCUUUACCGUCUAUAUCAUCCCAGCUUUAGCCCAUAUGCUCACCUAUAGAAAAGCCUCUGCUCGGCAGGUAUAAAGACGAAUUGGUGAAAUUGUGGUUGUAGUCCCUGUAUAUUACUAGGAUUUUUAUUUACUUGCUAUUUUUUUUCUUUGGUGAAACAGAAUGCUGCAGAAAAGCCACCAUUCUUCAUGCCAAGUUGGACUGGAAUGUAUGCAUUAAACGCCUUUAUUGUGGUGUGGGUUCUAGUGAUCGGGUUCGGGUUCGGGGGAUGGGCUAGCAUGACCAAUUUCAUUAGGCAAAUUGACUCUUUUGGCUUGUUUGCCAAGUGUUAUCAAUGCAAGCCUCCAACACCAACAUCACCAGCUGCUGCUAUGCACCAUUAAGCUCACUCUCAACCAACAUCAACUACUCCCCGUUUUUCUCCAGUCAAAUUCCGAUUUUGGUCCCUCUAUUAUGCUCAAAUUUGAAAUUUAGUCUCUACAAUUUGAAAUAAUUUGAUCUCUCUUUUAUAAAUUCAUUAGUUAGCCACAAAUAGUUAACUGUAUCCAGUUAAAAUGCCAACGUGAAUUUUUCCUAAAAACACCCAUUCCAACACCAGAAGAAAACAUAUCAGCAUGAUGAAUGAGAAGGGUUGUUUUUAAGAAAAAGUUCAAUGUUAGCUUUCUAAUUGGAAUAGAUACCGAUGUUAACUACUUGGACUAGCUCAUGGCAUUAUAAAAAUAAAAGGACAAAUCAUGUCAAAUUAAAAUACAGAGACCAAAUUCCAAAUUUAAACAUAGUAGAAGGACCAAACCGAAAUUUGACCUUUUCCUCCAUAUCCCAAAGAGAGAAAAAAAAAACCCACCAAUGAUUUCCAUGUUUUCCUCCAUAUGUUGUAUCAUAUAUUGGGGGAGAUAGCAAUAUUCUCCCCUACAUGCUUAGUGUGCUGGAUUUUUGCCCUUUGCUUUUCCUAUUUUUUCUUUCAAAUUUCUCCAUUAAAUUAGUUGAUAAUUAAAAAAAUAGUGUGUUGAAUUUGUGAUGAUUCCUUUGCUAUCCAAUUAAAUCAUAUAUAAAUAGUAUUUAUCAGCUUUCUCCCUCUUUUCUCAUCCUUAAUAACUUGUAUUAAAGUCUUUUUGUAGUGCUAAUUAUUACAUCUAUCAUGCUUUCGAAAAUGUUAAUUAUAAAAAAAUCAACCAUAGAAGUUAUGUGAGAUGGUAAGGGUCUCUCCUAUCUUAAAUAUGGGUCGAGGGUUCGAUCUUCACCUUAAGUAUAAAAAUAAUUUGAAAACUUGUGGUCAGCAUCUAUCCCUUAAUAGAUCUAUAAAAUACAAAAGAUUAAUUACUGAGUUCACUCCGAUAGAUAUCUAAAAAAUUAUGUUUAGAUCUAUUGAUAAUAAUUUCGAAUUCAUCCCCUAAACAUGGGUUACCCGCCCCCACAUUUCACAUGGGUUACACGUUAGCUCAUUUGCUUGUCACGUGCCACUCAUUACUCCUAAAUAUUCCCCCUUCAUUGAAUUUCACAUGUGAACAUACGAUGCCUACACGAUAUGCAUAUAUUAUUUUAUAUCAUCUACAAUCAUACUUGGCUAAUCAUUUCUAUCUUUCAGCAUUGCUGUAAAUUUUAAUUAUCUGUUUAUUUAGAUAUUCCGUUAGUUGUCAAUUGAAUCUUAACUCGAUCGGUAUAAGUUAAGAGGAUGUGGGUUCGAGUGUGCUGAAGCGCAUUAUCCUCCUGUUUAUGAAUUGGGGAGGGGCUAUGGGUAAUUCUAGGUAUUGUAUCAAAAAGAGAAGAUAUGAUCAGAACCUAUAAUGAGAUUAUUCAAAAAAUAUAUAUCGUCAGUUAGUCGAGCUUUUAGCUCAACUGGUAUUGGUACUGCUUUCUGUGCAAGAAAAAGAGAGUUCGAGCACCCUUAAGCGAAUUUAUCCUUCUAUUUAAAGGUUAAGGAUAAAUUAUGGGUAAUUUUAGGCGUUAUAUAAAAAAAAUAUUGUUAGUGUCAGUACUUAAAUGAAAUUUGAGUUUAGGGUUAGUAUUUUUUAUCAUAUUAUUGAGACUAUUAGUAUUUACCGUCAAAAUUUACCAUCAACCAACCUAUAUAGUUAUACCAAUUUUACAAGUAAAUCAUUAUGAAAAAAGAGAAAAUAUACAUGAUAAUGAACAGAUUUCGUCUUGAUAUCAACAAAUGGAUUGAAUUAAAAUUUGAUGUAUUAAUGGUAUAUUUUGACUUUAGUAGCUUUUAUAAAAAAAUAAAUCACCUAAAGGGUUUUAUAUAUUUUAUUUCUUCUAGCACAUGCAACCCAAAGAUAUAGGUUUCUUUGCUUUCUUUUUGUUUUAUAAAGAGAAAGUGUGUGAAUGUCCCCAUUUGAAAGUGCUGAAUCUGAUGGGGCUAAUCACAAAGUUUGAUUACAAGUAAUUAAUAAAGAAAAAGGGGAGAAUGGGGAAUCAAUUGCAAGCAUGAUUAGGGUUUCAAGUACCAUGUUUUAGGUUUCCUUUUGAAGCUAAGUCAAAACCCACUUUGGUAUUGUUGCCUUCCUUUUUUGAUGAUUAGGUAAAGUAAAGAAAUUUGACACAACUUGUGAUUCAUGUGGGAGAGUUGGUUCCCAUAAGAUCUUGUUGGUAUUGACCAAAUCUACCCUAUCAUUUAUAUUACUAUUUUUAUGAUUAAGAUAUUUUUUUUAUGUUCAUUUUAUUAUUUAUGAUGAUUAAUUAUUUUAGGUUUUAUGAUUGUCCCACGAGUUCUCUCUUUUGAGAGUCCAAUGCACCUUAUUAUUUCACCUAGAAUUUUAAUAUCAUUUUAGUUUACAUAGAAAAAAAGGUUUAAUUGUGGUUUCAGUCCAUUUACCAUGCUAAAAUUUAGAUUUAAUCUAUUUAUUUUAAUUUGAUAUAAUUUGGUCAUUCUAUUUUUAUAAUGUUAUUAAAAUGUCCAAAUUAGUAACACCGUUAAUUACUUCUGCUAAAGCGAUGUUGUGAGUUUUCCUUUUUAAAACAACCUCAAGUAUUCAAAUGACAUGUAAAACAUAUUAUUGGUUAAACAGAGUUGAUUGAAUUUCCACAUGAACUCGAUUAUGAGACCAAAUAUCAAUAAAAAAAAAUCUGGUUAUCACUUUAAUUGCAACAACUAUAGGUAUUAUGAACUUGUGCAUGCUAAUAACAUUACAAAGAGAAGGUCCAAAUUAUAUCAAAUUAAAGUAGAGGGGCUACAACCAUAAAUAAACCAUUAAAAGCAUGACAUUAAUGAAUCACAGUUUUGAAGAAGUACAAUUGAAGUCAACAAACAAAUCCCAUUUGUUUGAUGAAGUAUAUAAUUUGUUGAAAAAUGGGUUACUUAAAAUAAAUCUGUCAAUCUUAACUUGUAAGGUUUUUUAGUUGACCAUAUUUCAAAGCAAGUUUAUGAGAAAUAUAAUGAAGCUUAAUUAUUGCCCUAAUUACAGCUUUUUAGAGAUUUAAACCAAUUGUGUGCCUUGUUCAUGGAUUAAAGUAAAAAAAAUGUAAAAUAAUAUAAACAAAAAAAGGAAGAAUUAAAUGCUUUUAGUAUAAGCAUCAUUAAGAAUGGAUUAGAUUGAAGUAAUUUAAGAUUAAAGGAAGAUUACGACAAUAAGCAAGGUUUUUUUUUUUUUUUUUUUGCUUAGUGAAAGCUGCAGUUUUGUCAGAAGUUUAGUUAAACCCAAAUCUUGUCUUUUCAGUUACUUGGUACUUCAAUUUUGUCAGGUUUGUCAUAACCAUAAAAAUUCUUUAUGAGUUAAUUGCAUCAAAUACCCUCAAAUUUUGACCCUCAUUCUAAAUUGAUCCUAAAUUCCUGAAUAUUGCAGGUUGGAGUGGACUUAAGCAUGUAAUGUCCACAAGUGAGUAUAAUUACUUCUUUAGCUAGAAAUUGAAAUAAAUAAAAAAUAAAAAAAAAACUUUUUAUGUUGACUUGAAUGGUUAGUUUGAAAAAGAAAAAUCCAAAUAAACAUUUUAAUGAAAUAGUUAAUAAUCUAAUUUGAAAAUAUAGAAUGAUCGAAUCAUGUCAAUUUAAAAUAUAAAGAUUAAAUCUUAAAUUUAAGUAUAGUAAAAUGUGACAUUAUUUAACGAUCCUAUUAUAGUGGAAUCCCAUUGGGUUCUUUUAAAUCAACGGUUGAAAUAAAAAAGGAAAAAAAAUACAAACCCACCGUUGAUCAUGCCAUGUAGGAUUUAUAUUGAGGAACAUGAGUUUAGCUUUUAACCGAUUCAACUGGUUUUAAUACCAAAAGAAUGAGAGAGAUAGGGGCAAGCAAAAUCCAAUUCGUUUUCAAAAACUUGAUAAAAAAUUUAAAUUUUGAAUUAAAUAGUUCAAGUUGUUCGGAUCAACUCGAAAAAAAAUCAAAUUUUUCGAUUUAACUCGAAUAUAAAUUACAUAAUUCGAAUUAUUUGAAAAUUCGAAUAAGAAAAGGCAAAACUAUGUCGUUUUGAUAAUGUUUACCUUUUCUAAAGUUAAAAGUCAAAACCAUUAAGUUAAAAGAAAAAACUACAUUGUUUUGAUAAAUGUUUACCCAUCAACUUUACUUAUGUAGUUAAGUCAUCUUGUACUUCGUCUACUAGUUAAAUAAUCAGUCCAUGUAAACGUAACAUUAAGUAUAAAUAAUAGGAUUCGUUAACUCAACUUGAAAAUUUUUUACUCGAUUUGAAAAAAAUUCAAAUUGAGUUUAGUUGCUAAAACAUGAUUCGUUAACUCGACUAACUCAAAAUUUUUUAACUCGAUUCGACUCGACCGAAUGCUCACCCCUAGAGGGAAACGUAUUCGAUAACCAAUUUAACAAGUUCUAAGUCAUCAACAAAAUUUCCUAGUUUCUGUGACUUGAUCAAACUGCUACAGUUUUCUCGUUUCUAUAUUUUAAUCACACCUGUUGAUUUAAUAAAAGCAUAGGAAGGGAUUAAAUCAAAACAUUUUAAAGUUUAGACACCCAUCUAAAAUUUGAUCCAUGAUUGUCUAACCUUAUUUAUACUUAGGCCGGGAUCCUACAAUGGGUCAAUUUACACCCCCAUUAAGAAUUGUUUCAAUGAUCCAUGAUUUAAUCUGGGCUUAGAACAGAUAAGGGAUAUAUUGGGAUUGGGCUAAAACCUGAAAGCAUAUAUAAAACCCAGAAAAGAUUAAGUCCUUUUUUUGGUGAUAUAAAUGUGAUAAGUGAUAACCUUAUCAUCAAAAGAGAAACCAACAAUGGCGUCACUACUACUUGGAGCAGCUCCAAUCUCAGCUCAAUCCCUUAACCUUUCAUCAGUUUCUCGUAUCUCUUCAUCUCAUUCCCAAACCCUUGGAACUUCCUUAUCAGUUUCAAAUUCAUCCUUUUCACUCUCAGCAGCUUCUUCUCCUUCAAUCCCCUAUGGUAGCUAGAAAAAAAAAAUUUUGUUUUUGUUAUUUUUCUGGGUUUCUUUUGAAGAUUACAAAUUUUAGGUUUUAUUUGGUUUUUUUUUUCAGUGUACUGUGGCAGAGGGGAUAAGAAAACAGAGAGGGGGAAGCGGUUCAAUCACUCUUUUGGCAAUGUAAGUGUUAUGGUUAAAUUCUGCUAAUAGUCCCUGUACUUUACUGAAGUUGUGGAUUUAGUCUAUGUACUUUAAUUUUAUCAAUUUGAGCCCCUGUACUUAUGAAAUUGGUAAUUGUAGUCCCUCUGCUUUUCUAAUGUAGAAAAUUUAGUCAUAACUCAAAAUAGCAGUAGUUGAAUUCAUUUGAUUAAAUUUAGUUACUAGUCAUGUACUAUACUUUCCGAAUUUUGACAUUACACAUAUAGUAUGUUUGUCGCAUUAGAUUCUGAAAAUAGCAAAACUUACUGAAUUUAACAAUUCUCAUUCGGUGAACACUGGAAUUUUAUAAUUUGAAAAGUACAAAGUCUUAAAUUGACCAAAUUAAAGUACAAAGACUAAAUCCACAACUUUCUCGAAGUACAGGGACUAAUGAUAGAAUUUAACCUAAGUGCUAUUGUUAUUAUUAGUCCCCAUUUUUGGUGAAAUUUGAAUAGAUUUUGAUUUUGUUUUGUAUAUAUGCAUAAUGAAAUUGAAUAGGCAAGGCCUAGGGACAAGAAGAAGGGGAGAGGGCCACCAAGGGUGGCAGUUCCACCAGCACCACCGAGAAAAGAUAAGUUUGAUGAUGAUGAGAAGAUAAAAAUUGAAAUUGAUGAAUCCCUUUUUACUAGUUAAUGCUUAAUUUCUUUAAUUUUUCUAUUGUAAUGUCUUAAAUUGAGAAAACUUGUUGUGUAUGCUGUAAUUUGCUGUUGUUAACAUUACUCUUUUAAUUUGAGUUAUUCUUCUCUGCUAUUGAGUUUUUUUGGGUUUCAUUUUAUGGCAACUAAGUAAAUGUAGAUAUGUGUAUUGAGAAGCAGAUUGUAGCAAUGGCAGCUCUGUUUUGGGUUGUGUUGGGAAAUGAACAUAGAAAGCUGAGGUUUUAGUGCCUUGUGUUUGGUUGAACCAACAUGUUUUCCACUGGUUUCAUUUGGAUAAUGUAUGUACAAGUGGAUGGUUGAAAAUUAUAGCAACACCACGUGUGAAUUUCAUUGUGUUUGUGGUUUGUGGGAGAAUUAGAUUGGCUAGUUGAUUUGAUGGUUUGAUUGGUUCGACCAGUGGUAUAUAACCAAAUAUAGAGAAAAUUAUUGUGAUUUGAUAUAAAAAAAAAAGAGGGAAAAUUGAUGGUCUGACCAAUUAGAUCAUCGGUCCAAUUCUGGCUUUAUGCACCAAAUUGCACCCCUUAAUCCUUUGAAAUAUUUGAGAAUAAAGAAACCAAAUUGCACCACUACCCCAACUAUAAACAUGCACAUUGGACAGGUUGUGUUGGUUUUUUAAGUUUUCGAGUUUUUUUGUUUUUGGAUAUUUUGGGUUUGGAUUGUUUUAAGUUCGAAUCAUUUAGAAUCUAUUUGGUACUGUCCCAACUUCAGUUCAUAACAUUUCCAGUUCUUCUCUGUGGCUCCUCCUAAUCACUGAGUACUUGCCGGCGGUGUUAACGGUUCUACUUCCGAUAUCACGGCUGACUGCUUUUGGACUUAAAGAUUAUUGACUUUGCUAAUAACAGACUUACUGGAACCCUGCCUGCAAAUUAAUCACUGUCCAGAAGCUUGGACAUUGACCAGAAAUCAAUUGUAUUGGUAGAAGAUAAUUCAACUUAUUUAAUCGAAAAGAAACAGGAUACACAUAUUACAAGCAAAAUAAAAAGGGCAGAACAUAACCAGCAAAAACAGCAUACAGUGGAAACAGAAACCAGAAACUGGAUAAUACAAGGAAAGAGAUAGCUAAGUACCUCUUUUAACUUAUUCCCUACUCCUUAAUACCAAUCGUUGCUGGGUCCUCCCCCUUUGGCUCUGCUUUGCUCUCCUCCCAUGCUUUUUUGUUUCACGACCAAGACGAGGGAAAAGCCUGGAGAGAGCAUGAUCAAUACGCUCGAAAUACCAGAUCCUCCAUCUCUUCCAAUAGAUAAGAGGUACAAUGAUAGUUCCCAACCCAAAGAUAAACCCUAUCUCGAUACUUAAAUGAUUCCAGUGUAUAAUGCUCCCUGUCUCAGAAUCUGAAGGGCUGUCUUCUUUAGCUGGUGGCAAUCCGCACUUUGUCUUCAAAGGAGGUCCACAUAAUCCGGCAUUGUUCUCAAAUGAAGCUUCUGGAAAUGAUUGAAGUUGGGUGCUCGUUGGGAUUGGACCCACUAGCUUAUUAUUUGAGACAUUAAGACAUGAAAGGAAAUUGAGGUUUGCUAGCUGCAAAGGGAUCUCACCCCGUAGGCUAUUGCUUGAGAGGUCCAAGGACUCAAGCUCUCGCAGGUUUCCGAAAGAUGAUGGGAUUGGACCUGUGAAAUCAUUAUGCGAAAAGUUAAGGCCAUGAAGUUCUUUGAAUUUGCCGAUUACUUCUGGUAUUAGCCCUUCAAAGUUGUUCCAUGAAAUGUCAAUGGAGGUGAAUACGGGCAGGAUCUUCACCAGCUCUAACUCUAAACCUUUGGUGGUAAUUGUUAUUGCAUCUUGAUAUCUAGUACCGCCUCCAGAACCAGAAUCUACAAAAUGGAGAUGUUUGAGCUCUAACAGGUUACUAUAUGGGUUAUGCUGCAUAGCAUCCCACGUCCCCAAACAUGUCAGAUGCAGUUUACCACUAAAAUUGUUGGAUGCUAAGUCAAAAAUCUGCAGCAUUGACCAUCCACCAUUAUUUCCAGAACAAUCAAUGUGACCGUUAAAUUUGUUGGAACGUAAAACAAGGACAUGCAUCUUGGCUAUAUUCUUCAAAUGCCAUGGGAAUGAGUCAUUGAUCUGAUUGUUGCCAAUGUCUAAAACCUCCAGCAUUUUGCAAUUCCCUAAUGAUUUUGGAACCUUUCCUUCCAGUCGGUUUUGAUUGAGUUUGAGAGUUUGUAACUUACAGCUUUUUGAAAAAGUGUCAGAAAUGAUGCCACUGAGAUUGUUUUGUCUUAAAUCCAAUACUCCAAGAGAUCCGCUCAUCUGAAAGAGGCAUUGAGGAAUUGGCCCACUCAAUGAAUUAUUAGACAAAUCGAGUACUCUAAGAGAUGUACUGCUGCAUAUCGAUGGAGGGAUACUCCCAUGAAUGUUGUUAUUUGAGAUGGAAAAGAAAGAAACAUGCUGGAGGGAGUCACCAAUGUGAGCUGGUAAAACAGAGCUGAAAUUGUUGUCUGAGUAAUCCAGAUAAGUGGCAUCUAAUGUAGGAAUUGAGAUUUCCCCUUGUAAUUGGUUGACAUGCAGGUCAAUAAUCUCAACACUAGAAGUUAUGUUCUUCAAAGGUCUUUCGAACCCAACAAGAAAGUUAUCAGAAAGAUUUAGGCGCGCAAGAUCUAUUGGUUUCCAAAUCCAAUCAGGUAUUUUCCCAUGAAUAUGGUUGUUUGAAAGGUCAAGAUACAUUAAGCUGGACUGAUUUUUCAAGAAACCAGGGAACUCUGUUAAGUUGCAAGAUGCCAGCCCCAAUCCGGUAAAUGUGGGGAAAGAAAGCAAGGAAAUAUUAGUAGCAGUGGCAUCAAUAGACAACCUGUUAUGCGAGAGAUCAAGAGAAAAAAGAUUCCCCAAGUUCUGAAAGGCAUUCAUUGGUAUCAAACCGUUGAAGUUGUUUGAAGAAAGAUGUAGGGUUUCUAGACCACGGAGUUCAAACAAAGACGUUGGAAAUUGCCCUUGUAACUUGUUGUUGCUAAGAUCAAGGGUAUUAAGCAGUGAAGAGGCCUUAUCAUGAAAGUCACCAAUGCUGCCAUUGAAUUGAUUGUGAGAAAGGUCAAGUCUCUGCAGUGAUGGAAUGCCAAACAAAGUUGGUGGAAUGGUUCCACUUAGCUUGUUGCCUCCUAAGUUAGCAUUUUCUAGCUUUGAAAGGCUUGACCAGUCAGUGGAAUGAAUUGUGCCGACUAACUUAUUAUGAGCAAGGCUUAGGUUGGUAAGAUUCCUCGAUGAAGAGAAGGACGGUAUUGGACCAGAAAAAUUGUUAUUGGAAAAAUCCAAAGAGACAAGUUGGGUAAGUUUCUCAACUGCUUUGGGUAUGGGUCCGCUGAAAUUGCAACCAGCAAGCUCUAUUCUUGUCAGUCGUCCUAGGUUAUCGAGAGAUUCUGGAAUUUGCCCCCCGAACUUUGUGCUGCUAAGUGCGAGAGCUUGAAGAGAAGCAUUGAGAGGAAAAUUUGGAAAUGAACCUUGAGUAACAUGUUGUAUGACAAAUAAAGUGUCUGUAAGGUAGGUAUCUGGAAAAUUUCAUCUGGCAGUCUUCCUUUCAACCCAGUGCUACUAAGACUAAGGGAAGUCAGGUUUGGGAAUUCUGCAAAGAAUUGUGGAACUGAAGCAGACAAGUUGUUGUAGUCCAAGCAAAUUACCGAGAGAGAUUGGAGCUUGGAAAGUGAAGAAUGUAUAGGUCCUGAAAGAUAACAGUUGGACAUGCUCAACACUUGCAACUCAGUCAACGGCGAUAAUGCCCGACACCAUUCAUUCCCCGUAGCUGAUAUAUUUACGCUAUCAAGAUAGAGAAAUCUUAGCCUCGUCAGAUUUUGAACAAGCAUCUCUAGGUUCGGCUUCUCAAGUUUCAAUGGUUCUCCACUCAAGAAUGAAUCUGUAGAUAAAUCGAGAGUAACCAACCUUGUCAAGCGUGAAAUCUUAGCUGGGAUUUGUCCUGUAAAGCCAGCAUUGGAUAAAUUAAGAUAACUCAAAUUCUCCAAUUUAUCAAAUCCAGCGGGAAAAGCAGUCAUGAACUGAUUAAAAGCCAAAUUGAGUCGCUGAAGAUGUUGAAGACGAAAAAGACUACUUGAACCGUCAAUUGAGCUUGAAAUUGCUCGGUUGCUCAAGUCAAGACCGAUAACAUGACCACCGCCAUCGCAACUUACACCAUCCCAGGAACAGCAAUCCAUGGCUUGAUUCCAUUUCAUCAGCUUUCCUAAUGGAAUAGGAUAUAUAAAAAGAUCGGAGCUGCUUGUCAAAUUCAAGUCGAGCAACAACUGUUUUUGAUCGUUUCGACAUUGACCAGAAACUAAAACUAAGUUGCUAAUACUAAGGAAAGUUGCAAAAUAUGAACUGAAUAAGAGCCAUGAAAGCAGUAAAAUCCUCAUAUUUCUUUUUUUUGAGGCUAUUGAAAGAUGAAUGAAACUUGUAAGAGACGUUGAGCAUAUAAAGAAAUGGGGGAGGGAGAAAGCUCGGAUGCUAUAAGACUAUGAAUACUCGAGGCACUUUGGAUGGGUGUUUAUUUUAGUUGCGAUACGUCUUACGCUACAGUAUCGCUAUAAUAUUUUAUUUCAUCGUCAUUGUAAUUUUUACACUAUUCCAAAUAAACGCAGUAGGGACUCGAUGCUGCAGUGUAGUAAGAUUGAAAAAGUGAUUAAUAGGGAGAGUGGAGAAGAAAAUUGCAAACGUCUCACUUGGUCUAAUAAUGAGAGAGAGAAGAAAAAGGAUUAUAGAGUUGUGUGUGGUGGGUUAAUUUCUCCAUCAACCCUGGCCAAGGUUCUCCUAACAUUAAAUAAUUUGGUUAUAUUUCAAUACAUGUAACAUUUUAGGUCCCAUAUCGAAAAGACUGACUGAAGAAGAAAAUUAAAAGGUUGGUUGGAUGUCCAUAUAUCAUUUCAUUAAGAUGAAUUCUUAGGUUUGACUUCUCAAGUUUGACUACAAAUUAAGGGUGGGUUUGGAUGGGCGAUUGGGUGCAGUGCGGUGCGUUUAGUUUACUUUUUGUCUCACGCUACAGUAUCGCUACAGCAUCUGAUCUCACUGCAACCGCUAUUUUUACACUAACCACAGGUAAACGCACCGCCCAUCUAAACUCACCCUAAGAUACAUUAAGAGUAACUUUAUCAAGCCUGAAAUCUCAAUUGGAAUUUCCCCUAUAAAACCACCAGCUUUGGACAAAGGAAAAGAAAAAUAGGGUUAAUAAUGAAUACUUACAUAAGAAGUACUUAAAUAGAAAAAUAGAAGGGUCAAAUGGGGUGAAUAAGAAAAAUAGGCAAUUAGCAAUUGGAAGGGUUAAAACUACACUUUUUAAUUUAAAAUAGAAGGCUCAGGACUGAAAAUGACUCAAAAAAAUAUAUUUUCAGCUUUUUAAUAUGAAAAAAAAAUUUAGACUAAAAUUAAUUAAUUAAAUGUUACAGCUUUCAAUUUUUUACCAUAAAUGCUUCAUCUCUUAGGGUGGGUUUGGAUGGGCGAUUGGGUGCGGUGCAGUGCGUUUAGCUUACUUUUUGUCUCACGCUACAGUAUCGCUACAGUAUCUAAUUUCACCGCCACCGCUGUUUUUACACUAACUGCAGGUAAACGCACCGCCCAUCCAAACUCACCCUUAGGGUCCCAAAAUUUUUUUAACUUUUAUUGUAUUACAUUUUAUAUAUAUAUAUAUUUUUAAAAAGGGGCUCAAUUUAUUGCUUCGCCUAUAGCCCCAAAAAUGUCAAGAACGGGACUGCUUACAUUUCAUAUUAAUUUACACUAAUUUUUUUAUUAUUCAUGUCUGUUUUACGGUUCAUAUUUGAGAUAUGUGGCUAUCGCUCCUAACAAUGUUGUUUUUAAAGUUUGGACUUAUAUCUCCUCUUAAAAAUACAAUGUCUUACCAUUAUACCUAACACUUAUCAGUAUUAAUUUACACUAAUUACAAUAACUAAAACUACAUUAUUUGAAAAAGUAAAUAGUUACAUGCAACGCACAAAAUUGCUAGUGAAGAAAAAUGCAAACUAUUAUUAAUUUGGUAAAAAGAUCUCUCCAAUUUCUCUCAAUUUUGAAAUUGAGCAAUUUAGUCUCUUUAAAAAAAUUUGAAGUAAUUUAAUGUCUGUCAAUUUCGAAAAUAAACAAUUAAAGAUAAUUAAGCACAACGUUAAUGUCUCUUAUCAACUGCACAUAGUUUUUAUCUACAUAAUAAUUUUAUUCUUUAAUGUUUAUAUGUUUUGUCAUUUUAGCCUUAAUUCUAAAAAGUUCAAACAAAUUCAGUAUCAACAUUUAUACAUUUGCACAAAUUUUGCGAAAUAAAUUUGUUAAAUUAAAACCAAAUUGACAAAAUAUAUGAAUUUUAAGGGUUAAUUUUGUUAUUAUACCAAUCAAAACCAUGUACAAUUAAUAAAAAAUAUUAACUUCGUGAUUAAUUAUCCUUAUUGCUCACUUUCGAAAUUGAUAGAGAUUAAAUUACUUUUAAAUUUUUUGAGAAGGACCAAUUUGCUCAAUUUUAAAAUUGAGAGUGAUGAAAUAGUUAUUUUUACCUAUUAAUUCUCUUCUAAAAAAGUUGAGAAGUGUACCAAAAAUUCCAUGUGGCUUUAAUGCAGGCAACAGGGCAGGCUCCUUAAAUUUCAAUGGUGUGUUCUAAGAAUAUGACUAAUUAUUAGUUUGUAUCAUCUACUUUCCCUCCUUUGCCUUUUUAGUUUUUCCUGGACCAUAACCAGUUGAUUAUAGUCUGCAAUAGAGUUGGACGAUAUAUGAGAUGAGAGGAGACUGAACAAGGAUAUUAAAAGGUUGGUUGGAUGUCCAUAUCAACUUUCCACUGAAUUAAUUCCAUACACCUCUUUUCUCACUAAUAAUAUCCCAAAACCAUUGACUUCAAAGUCUUUUUUUUUUGCUAUGUUCAAGACUAUCAUUUCACUAAGAUGAAUUCUUGGUUACUUACAGUUACUGCAUGGUAAUCUAAGUACAAGUAAUAAAUCAAGUGUUGUGAAGUGACCAUUCAUGAAAUGACGAAUUAAGGUUGCGAAGUUGCGAGUUCAAAAGAUGUGAACUCAUCGAAAGCUGUGAGCUCUCCUAAAGAGACGACCUCACCAAAAAUACAAGCUCAUCAAAAUGUGAACUGUUAAGGGUUUUGGCGAUCCCUCGUAUGAAGUGCGAGCAAGGUUCGCAUGUGCUAAAAUUGAUGUUUUUGUUUAAUCAUUUUAUCUUUGCUUUCCGUAGAUGUUUAGUGGGAUUAAUUUCACAUUUAUAUGGUAAAUUUUUGGAAUGAAAAUGAAGAUGAAUAUACAAGCAGAUUAUUCCAUCUGCCAAGUGUUCUACUUAUUUAAUCCAAUAGAAACAGGAUAAACUUGUUACAAGGAAAAUAGAAGGUGAAAACAAAAGCAGCAGAAACAACAUACGGUUGAAACAGAAACCAGAAACUAAAGUACCUCUCUUUAACUUAAAUGAUUCUAGUGUAUAAUGCUCCCUGUUUCAGAAUCUGAAGGGCUGUCUUCUUUAGCUGGUGGCAAUCCGCACAUUGUCUUCAAAGGAGGUCCACAUAAUUCGCUAUUGUUCUCAAAUGAAGCUUCUGAAAAUGAUUGAAGUUGGGUGCUUGCUGGGAUUGGACCUACUAGCUUAUUAUUUAAGACAUUGAGAAAUGAAAGGAAAUUGAGGUUUGCUAGCUGCAAAGGGAUCUCACCGAAUAGGACCCAAGCUCUCGCAAGUUUCCGAAAGUUGUUGGGAUUGACCCUGUGAAAGCAUUAUGUGAAAAGUUGAGGGCAUCAAGUGCUUCGAAUUUACCAAUUACUUCUGGUUUUGGCCAUUCAAAGUUGUUAACUGGUAUUUUCACAAGCUCCAACUUAUUGCCUUUGAUGGUAACUGUUAUUGCAUCUUCAUAAUAUUUAAAAUCAUCAUCUCCGAAGUCUAAAUUUAUGAGAUGUUUGAGCUCUGAUUGGCCUUUAUCUGAGUUAGGCUACAUAGCAUCCCAUGUCUCCAAACAUGUCAUAUGCAGUUUACCACUAAAAUUGUUGGAUGCUAUGUCAAAAAUGUUGAGAGCUGGACUGCAAUGCAACAUGAAGCCAGCUACUGUCGAGAUCAGCAGCAAACAACUGCAGCUAUUGAGCUCAACAAAUUUGCUUGGUGCGCAAGAAUGAAAAUCGACCGAAUGAAGCAACCAGUUUUUAAUUAUUUUGUUGUAAUGUAAUCUAGCUUAGUUGCUUUGUAACUAGUUUAUGAAGUUAGUAGGAUUAAGUUUUGAUUGGAUCUUUGAUGUAAAAGCUGGUAUGUCAGCUUAUCUUUGUAUUUGUCUAAGCUUGUAUUAGAUGUGCAUUAGUGGAGGCAGUUAGAUUAUUAGGUAACUGUCAUAUUGCAUAUUGUAACUUAUAUACAUUUUGAAUUUUGAAUGAAAGUAGUAGUUCAGUUACAAAUUUUGCUGAGCAUUCAAGUUACAUUUUUGCUGUUUUGCUUGUUUUUUUUUUUUGGCUCGAUCACUCUUGUUCCUGCUUGCAACUUUGUUUGCUGUUUGCUGCUGCCAUUGUUCCAACAAAAAAUCUAAAGCAUUGGCCAUCCAUUAUUAUUUCGGGGACAAUCAAUGUGACCGUUGAAUUUGUUGGAACGUAAAACAAGGACAUGCAACUUGGCUAUAUUCUUCAAAUGGCAUGGGAACGAGUCAUUGAUCUAAUUAUUGCCAAUGUCUAAGACCUCCAGACAUUUGCAAUUCCCUAAUGAUUUUGGAACCUUUCCUUCCAAUCGGUUUUGAUUGAGACUGAGAGUUUGUAAUCAACAGCCUUUUGAAAAAGUGUCAGAAUGGUGCUACUGAGUUUGUUUCGCCUUAAUCAGUACUCCAAAAGGCACGUUCAUCUGAAAGAGGCAUUGAGGAAUUGGCCCACUCAGAAUUAUUAGACAAAUCAAGUACAUCACAAUGACGAAGGGUACUCCCAUGAAUGUUGUUGUUAGAGAUGGAGAAGAAAGAAGCAGAUUGAAGGCAGUCACCAAGGUACGCUGGUAAAACAGAGUUGAAAUUGUUGUUUUGAUUAAUCCAGAUAGGUGAUGUUGCAGGCCCAUUUGCCCGGGCCCAAGAAAGAAACAAAAGAACCCAUACCAGCAGACCCACCAACUCCGCCGUUCACUUGCUGGCCGCCGCACGUCCCAUCGCUGCUCACCUGCUCCACCUGCUCUGCCGCUCCCAUGCCACUUGCACCUGCAAAGAGAAACAAACACGCAAGCAGAAACGAAGACAAAUUUUUUUCUUUCUUUCGGCUAUAAAAAGCCAGAUUUAAUAUGUAAACGGGGCUUCGGGAUUUUGGGUAUCAAAGAAGGAAUUAACAACAAUCAGUGAAUAAUAAGAAGAUAAAAAAAAAAAAAAAAGCGAAAGAUAAGGUUGAUUUCAAAUCAUUUUCUCAGAUCUUGCGUUUUAUUUACUGUCUUCUGUUAUUUUUUAUUUUAUUUAUUUUCUACAACUCUUUUAACGAAACAAAAAUAGGAAUAGGGGUUACCUGUGCUACGUCGAAAGGGGAAGGACGAGCGGUCUCUCCUCGUUCUUCAAGUUUCGGACCUCCUUUUUCGGAUUUAGCCCUUCGAUUCGUGCUUGAGAUGCACUAAACUUCGAAAAGGAUAAAAAAAAAUCUGAUUUUGGAUACUCCGGCCACCAUACGCGGCGGCGCUAGGGCGGAAAAUCGCCGGAGGCCUAGUUCGGCCGAUGACCAGCGCCGGGCCUGAAAGAAUGAGAGAGAGACUCUCCCUCUCAGUUUUUUUUUUUCUGAAAAAUGAAUCUGAUUUGUUUUUUUUUUGUUUUUUCUAUUAUUUAUAUUCAAAAUGAAACGACGUCGCUUUAGCAAAGGGGGAUCCGCGCGUCGACCCGACCCGACCCGAAGGAUCCGCGUGUUUUAGUUUUUUGGGCAAUUUAUGCGCGCAGUCCCUCUGAUUCGCGGCGUGUUUCAAUUUGGUCCUAUUUUGUUGUUUUAUUUUAUUUUGAUUUAGCCCUAACAUUUUAUUUUUGUUUUAUUUUAGUCCAUUGAGGUGCUGCGUUUUGGGAUUUUGGGUUUAUUUUCUGUUUUAGUCCUCCCCUCUUUUACGCGCGUCGCAAUUGGAUCCCUUUCGUUUUCCUUUAUUUCGAAUUGGCCCUAUAUGUUUUAUUUCAUUUCGAUUUAAGGCCCCUUUUUAGCAUAUUUUAUUAUUUAGUCAAUUUUUGUUAACUUCAUUAUUAUUAUUAUUAUUAUUAUUAUUAUUAUUAUUAUCAUCUUUACUAUUAUUAGUAUUGGUAUUAUUGUUGUUACUUUUACAUCUCUAUUCAUAUAUACUUAUGUAUUUUCAAAUAUAUAUAUCUUAUUAUUAUCAUAUAAGUGCUUGUAUAUGUACAUGUACAUAUUUUACAUAUAAUUUGUUUAAUAUAUAUACGUAUACUCAUAUUUCUUUUUAUAUAUAUCUAUACACAUAUACAUAUUUUUAUUUUUUAAAGUAUAUAUAUAUUUAUGUAUGUAUUUAUAUGUUUUUGUAUAUCUUAAUUUGCAUAGACAUAUACAUACAUAUUUUCAAUAUAUUUUAAACAUAUAUAUAUAAAUUAACGUACUUAUUUGUAUACGUCGGUAUAUUUUCAUUAUUUUUAAAUUCUAAUUUGUACAUACAUAUUUUCAUGCGCCUACUUUAUAUAUGCAUUUCAUUAUUUUCAUAUUCCAUAAUUUUAUACACCUAUAUAUAUGUGUACAUAUUUUUAUCUAUAUGCAUAUUUUUUAUAUUUUAAAGUAUACUUUACAUAUAUACAUUGUAAUUUAUGAAUACACACAUAUUAUAUUUUCUUUUGUCUAUACACAUAAAUAUAUAUAUCCCUUUGAAUUUUGAUUGUAUUCAUUAUUUAUUUAUUUCAUUUUCAUUAUUAUUUUGAACGAAUGUUCAAUUUAUUUGUUUAUAUAUAUUGUUAUUUUAUAUGAUUGUAGGUUUGACUUUUAUUUAUUUUAUAUUGUUGCUAUCGCUCGUAUCAUUUUUACACUUUUGUAUUCAUUAUGAUUUUGUCAUGUAUAACAAUGUAAUUUGCUUUCACAUUUUUUACUACGACUUCAUGUUUUUAUUUUACUCGAUAAUAAAAUUUGUUUAAAAAAAGUGAUAUUUUUUGUUUAGAUUCGAGAGGAUCGUACCCUAACUUACUGGGUUUCGAUUUCCACAAUAAAUCUAAACACACUGAUCUUUUCAAACUCAAGUUUUGAAACGAUCUCGGGAAUUAAGAAAAGAUCGUGUCCUAACUUACUGGGCAUGAUCCCUUUCCUAAACCCGAGAUAAUAAAAUAUCUUUUAAAUAAGUAAAAUUCUGGCAUUCAUUUACGUAUUGGGAAUUUGAGACAUUGUAUUCUAACUUACUGGAUAUGAUUCUCUUUCUCGAAUAAUGUGAAAUAUGCCCAUUUUCCUGAAAAUUUUCAACGUUUUAAUACAAGGAUCGUAUUUUUUUUAAUUCUUCUAAGUUUUCAAUUUUUGACAUUAAGACAUUAAGUAAUCAACUAAGGUACCAAUUUUGGGCGUAUCGAGGGUGCUAAUCCUUCCUCGUGCGUAACCGACUCCCGAACCCGUUUUCUGAAUUUCGCGGACCAAACUUGUUGUUUUAAUAAAAUCAAACCGUUUAUUAAAAACGACCGCUUUUCGAGGUGAUCCAAUCACACCUUAAUAAAAGAUUGGUGGCGACUCCCGUUUUCAUUUUCAAAAUCCAAGUCGACCCCGUUUUCAUCAAAAAAAUGGUGUCAACAGCUUGGCGACUCCACUGGGGAAGUAUUAAGAGAGUCAAGCCACGUGUUGAUUAUUUCUUGUCUUUUUGUCGAAGGUUGAAAAUUCGAUUGAAAUUUACGAUCCUCUCAUUGCAUCUCUAUUGUUUUGAGUUAUAUUUUUAUCGUGUUCUGUAUUUUAUUUUAUACCUCUGCGCAUUGCAUUGCAUGACCGUUGGUCACACCUUUUUAAGUGAGAGUGAGAAGCUACGCCUUCGUGAGGUUUUCACCUCCGCAUGGGAUAGUGAAUCGCUUUCGGGAUAUAUCUGUACCUAUGUCUUCGUGAGAUUUUCAUCUCCGCAUGGCCAUAGGGAAAUGUAUCCCCCUGAAUCGAACUUGGUCCGUAUGAGCCUAUAAUGGGUGAGGAUCGAGGAAUUUGCUGGUUCAGGUACCCUACUUUAGAACCAAACCACAUGUAAUGAGCCAUAGGAACCGACCUAGGUAGAGUUACUCUAAAUUUUUAGUGCUUACCUAAAUGAAUGUUGUAUUUAUUUAUCGUUUAUUUUAAAUCUUAUUCUGUGUUUAAUGCUAAUUUACUUUGUUUGUGAUUGCAUGGCAUCUUCAUUCUAAAAGAGGUGUUGAUUUACGUUCAGUUUCUUGGUAGAAAGCUUAUCAUGGAAAAGGGGUUUGUUGAUAAAGUAGAGGAUAAUGCGGCUGUGCGAAUAUGGGCUGAAACUACGCAACGGGAGAAAGGCGAUAGUCUUACCGAAGGGUACGUGUCAGAAUUGUGGGAUUUUACCCGUAUCAGUGUAAUCCAGAAUGACCUUCGAGAAAUGAAAGAAGUCUGGGAUCAAUGGGAUGUCGAGGCCAAGGAGCUGUUCUAUUGUAACUAUGGUGACCUACCUUAUCUGCUCAGUGUCAAAGUGGACAAGUAUUUAUUCCGAGCCCUUGCUCAGUUUUGGAAUCCUGCCUACAGUUGUUUCACUUUUGGGAAGGUAGAUUUGACGCCUACUGUAGAGGAGUAUACGACCUUACUUCGGUGCCCAAAGAUUCAAGUCGACAAGGCUUAUUCCAGAGCUGCUUGUGUCCCUCCGUUGUUAAAGAAAUUAAUGAACAUCACUGGGAUGAGCGAGCAGUGGGUCGCUGCCCGGAUCCAACAGAAGGGCGACAGUAAAUGUGUUCCUUGGAAAAGUUUACGAGAUUUGGUGCUUGUACAUCCUGACUUAAAGAAAAGGGUCGAUGUCUUCGCUUUAGGUAUCUAUGGGCUAGUGGUUUUCCCCAAAGCUUUAGGACACAUAGACGAGGCUGUAUCUGAUUUGUUCGAUCGGCUUGGUAAAGGGGUUACACCGGUUCCGGCAAUACUCGCUGAAACUUUUAGAUCUUUGAAUGCGUGUCGAAAAGCAGGGGAGGGAAGGUUUAUUGGAUGCGCGCAGCUUUUAUUGGCAUGGUUCCAUAGCCACUUCUGGAAAGUCGAAAAGGUCUCUUACCGGGUAUUCUCCGAUAGCUACUCCCCUCUAGGAGAAUUGGUGGCCACGCCAAGACGGGAUGAUAUUUCAGAAGAAAAAUGGAUAGAGAUACUCCAGAAUCUCCAAGAUGAAGAUAUUGAAUGGAGGGCUCCUUGGUUAAUUCCUGAUGAGAUAUUGUACCGAUGUGGAGAUUUUGACUGGGUUCCGCUGCUCGGGAUAUGGGGGGCUAUUGGAUAUGCUCCUCUACUCGUGUCAAGACAGUAUAGAUCACGACAAUUCAUACCAGCAACCCAGGGGUUGGCUUAUAGUGAUUUUUCCUAUAGGGAGGACAAUUACAAGAAGAAGGUUCGAGAAAUAUCUAGUGCCUGGAACCAGACUCGUCGAAUGAAGAUCUUAGCUGUGGGUCCGACAAUUACCCCCGAGUAUGGUCAGUGGCGUAAUCAAAGGAUCAACGACAACAUCCCGGCGUCAAAUUCAGAAACGGCUCGAUCUUUAGAGGAACACUUACAAGUCUUGCCUUCUGAGAUAGAAAUCAUCAAACAAGAAUUCGAAAAAAGAAGUUUAGAAUUGGGGAAGAAGAUAGAACAACUUGAGGAAGAAAAAAUGCAGUUAGGACUGGAUGUGGACAUUCAAAGAUUAGAGGCCAACAAAUUGAGGAAAGGAAAGAACAAGGCAGAAGAAGAUUUGGACAGCCUGAAGACAGAUUACAAGAAGUUGCGUAAGUCGGUAAGAGCCGCUGGCUUGGGUAAAACACCAGAACAAUGGCGACAAGAAAUUCAGGAGGAAAAGACGAAAGCUAAUCAAUGGGAAAAGAAAUUUCAGGAUGCUCGGGCUCGAGAAGCCGCCUUGGGAAAGAGUCUACUAGUUUGCCAAGACGAGAAGACGGAGUUGAAGGUCCGGAUAACAGAACUGGAAAGAUCGCUUCGCCAGUACUGUAAUCGUAAUACUACGGUUGAAUUAAGGGCGAGCUUAGACAAAAUUGAAGAAUUAAAAACACAGAUAGGAGGGCUAGAGAAUGCAUUGCAAAAUAGUGAAAUCCGGAUAGAGCUUCUAGAAGAAAGUAAUGAGCAGUGGCAAGGACAAUUCCGUCGGUCUCAAGAGCAGAUUGGAGAAAGAGAUUAUAUUAUGGGAGAGGCGGUGACUCAGGUGCGCGAAGUGGCUGAUCAUCUGCAAACUCUAGCGGUUCAGGCUGAUCUAUUAAGUUUGAAGUAUGAGUCAGAGUCGGACAGGGGCCGAGAUUUAGCUUGGCUUCUUAGAAAGGUUAAGGCUUUGAGUGUGAGGGCAAAGCCAUAUAUGUAGUCUAUUUUAUGUAAAGAAACUCUUUAUCUAGUAAAGUUUUCUAAUGAAGUUGAAUUAGAAUCAGUGCCUCUUUUUCUUUGCAUUCUUUUUCAUGCAUUGCAUCACAUCAUAUGCAUUAAUGACCAUUAAAAAAACCUAAUCGAAUAAAAUCAUUUCAGUUAACCUGGAAAACCAACAAAGUUACGGCACCCGAGCAAAGACAAAAAUUAUGGACCAAAGGUUAGAGAAGCUAGAGCGACUUCAAAGAGAAAUGCAAGACCAGUUGCAGGCGCAAAUGAAAGAGCAAAUAGAAAAGAUUCAGCGUGACAUGGUACAAAAGAUGGAGGAGUCCCAAAAUGAUCUGGUGGCUAAGAUGACGCAAUUAUUGAAAGGAGUGGAUAAGGGUAAAGGGCCUGUGAUUGUUAGUGAAGAAGAAAACAACGGUGAACCACUCUAUCCCCCAGGUUUCACGCCUCCACAUGUACAGACUGAGCUGCAUUCGCGGAGACCCUCUGUGUCAGUUAGACCCCAGCAGUUCCAAGGCGAUGCUUCAAUCCCAAUGAAUUUUCAACCCGGAGCGGGCUUUAAUCCCGGUGAUAGCCCGAAUAAUAUUGCGGUCCCAGAUCUUGACGAGAUGGUUGAAAAGGACAAGGCGAAGGAGGAAUUUCCAAAACAAUUUGAGGAGAAAUGGAAAUGGAUAGAAGAGAAGUUUAGGGCAAUAGAAAGCAUCGAAAGCUAUGGAACAGAUGCAAAGGAUCUGAGCUUGGUUCCGGACUUGGUGCUCCCUUACAAAUUUAAGAUGCCGGAAUUCGAGAAAUACAACGGGACUAGUUGCCCAGGAUCCCAUAUUACUAUGUUUUGUAGAAGAAUGACGGGGCAUAUUAAUAAUGAUCAAUUAUUAAUACAUUGCUUUCAGGAAAGUCUUACGGGAGCGGCGUCAAAGUGGUACAAUCAGCUGAGCCGAGCUAAAAUUGCUACUUGGAGGGAUUUAGCACAGGCUUUCUUGAGACAAUACAAUCAUGUCUCAGAAAUGAUGCCUGACAGGAUAACUCUGCAAAAUUUAGAGAAGAAAUCGAACGAAAGCUUCAGACAGUAUGCGCAGAGGUGGCGAGAGGUGGCGGUUCAGGUGCAACCACCGCUUUUGGAAAAAGAGAUGACGACGCUUUUUAUUAAUACUUUGAAAGCCCCGUUCAUCACUCACAUGUUGGGAAGCGCUUCAAGAAAUUUCUCAGAUAUAAUCAUGAAUGGUGAAAUGAUUGAGCAUGCCAUUAAAAGUGGAAAAAUAGAUGGAGGAGAAAAUAAUAGGAGGGCACCCCCGAGGAAAAGAGAAAAUGAAGUGAAUAAUGUGAAUGCUUAUGGUAGGUCAAUUACCGUGAAUCAACCAAAUAAAGUGGCUGCUAAUCAACAGGGAUCAUCAAGACAAGAGUCAGGAGCUAGGCAAACUACUGAAAAGCCCCAAUUCACGCCAAUCCCGAUGUCAUACAAGGAGUUGUAUCAGACUUUAUUCGAUGCACAUGUUGUUGCUCCUCGUUACUUGAGUCCUCUACAACCCCCGUAUCCAAAAUGGUAUGAUACGAACGCGCAAUGUGAUUAUCAUGCGGGAAUUUCUGGGCACUCGAUAGAAAAUUGUACUGCCUUCAAGAAGGUAGUAGAAGGACUUAUCAAUUUAGGUGUUGUCAAACUUGACGACUCACCUAACGCAAAGAAUCCGUUACCUAAUCACGCAGAUAAGGGGGUGAAUAUGGUUAGCGAAGGUACGGGAGAAGAAGUCAAGACUGACAUUGCUGAAGUAAAAACUCCAUUGAAAUGGGUCUGGAAAGAAAUGGCGAAAAGAGGUUUGAUUAUUUCAGAUUCUGAGAAAGGGCAUGAGAUGGGAAAUUAUUGUGAAUUUCACCAUGAAACAGGGCAUGAAAUCCAAGAAUGUGAAGGAUUCAAGGCCUUGGUUCAAAGCAUGAUGGAUAACAAGGAGAUGAGGUUUUAUGAAGAUGUGAAAGAAAUGAGGAGCAUAUGCGCGAAAGAGUUGGGAACAAAGGCUCCAAAAAUAAAUCAUCCUGUGGUCAUUAUCUCCCGCCCUAAGGGUAAUGAGGUUAGGGCUCAGGUAACGCCGAAAAUUGUAAUCCAGAAACCAUCAAAUUUCUCUUAUAAAGAUAACAAAAUGGUGCCGUGGAAUUACGGGUGUAAUGUGACCAUUUUGGGAAAAGAAGCAGAAAGAAAUCAGGAAACAGUUUUUUACACGCGCAAGGGAAAAAGAUAUGACGCUCAAGCAGAGUCGUCCAGGGAAGAGAAUUGGAAGAAAGAACAGAGGAAAGGGAAGGCAGUAGAAGUUGAACCAUUGGUAAAUGAACCAAUAAAAGAAGAAGAGGCGAAGGAGUUUUUGAAGUUUUUGAAACACAGCGAAUACAGUGUUGUGGAGCAACUGCACAAACAGCCAGCCCGCAUUUCGGUAUUAGCUUUACUCUUAAACUCAGAAGUACAUCGGAAUGCACUCUUAAGGGUGCUAAACGAAACAUAUGUGGCUGACGAUAUUUCAGUAAACAAGUUGGAUCGGUUGAUCAACAAUAUUGGUGCUGACAAUUUUAUCUUCUUCAAUGAUGAUGAAAUACCAUCCGGAGGAAGAGGUUCUACUAAAGCCCUCCACGUUACUGUCCGAUGCAAAGGGUACACACUCCCGGGGGCCUUGGUCGAUAAUGGAUCUGCACUAAAUGUAUUGCCUUUGUCCACUCUUAGUCGAUUACCAAUAGACAGUUCGCACAUGAAAGCAUGCCAGAGCAUAGUAAGGGCAUUUGAUGGAACAAAAAAGGAGGUUAUGGGGAGAAUUGAAGUACCAUUAAGGAUUGGCCCAGUCACUUAUGAGGUGGAUUUCUUGGUAAUGGAUAUUAAACCCUCCUACAACUGUCUAUUGGGGAGACCGUGGAUACACUCAGCAGGGGCGGUACCUUCAUCAUUACAUCAGAAGGUGAAGUUGGUAUCGGAGGAUCGGUUGGUAACAAUAGAUGCAGAGGAGGAUAUUAUCGCAAUGAUGACUAGCGAGGCACCUUAUGUGGACAUCAACGAUGAGGCACUGGAAUGUUCUUUUCGGUCGUUAGAAUUUGUGAACGCGAUGUUUAUUGCGGAGGGAAAUAGGAUUCCAGUACCGAAAAUGUCCAGGACCACUGAGAUGGGAUUGCGAUUGAUGGUAGGAAGAGGAGCCUUACCCGGGAAAGGAUUGGGAAAAUACCUUCAGGGGAGGAUUGAGGCACCAAUGCCGAGGGAAAAAUUUGAUAGAUUUGGUUUAGGGUACAAGCCAGACAUGAAGCAGAAGAAGAAAGAAGUAGAGAAGAGACAAGCGAGAAGAAGGGCGCGUUUGAAUGGACAUGAAGCUAAGUGUGAGCCUUUAACCUUUCCCCACAUAUCUUCAUCUUUUGUGUCGGGAGGAUUUAUGCAUUCUGAAUGUGGGGUGUCCGGUAGCGGCAUGGGAGGAAUGUUGGAAAACGUUUAUAUUAACACCAUAGAAGCAACGGAAAGGAGGGCUUUGUUGGAGAUCCACCCUUAUGAGCCUGGAAGCGAGCUAAACAAUUGGACUGCUGAAGAAAUCCCUGUAGUCUUUAGGGCUUAUUCAGAGUAAUGCUCAAAACAUUCCUGUUGUUUGUUGGCCUAGAAACGAUACGAAAUUUUUUGUGAAAUAGGCAUUGGGCCUAAAUAUCAUUAUUUUAAUAAAAUACGUGUCUACGUUCAUCUCGAUCAGUCACUUUUUUUCUUUUCAUAUUUUUCAUUUGGUUGAUUGUCUUACAAACAAUUCUUUCAUUUGUGAUUCUUUUGCACAAACAUAUUCAUAAAUUUAUAUUCUUGGUAUAUUAUUUGAUCUGCCCACAUAGGUCUUCAGAUAUCAAUGACAUGAGUGAUGCUGUCUCAAACGCGGAGCCUAUUUUUGAGCAAGAAGUGUGUUCAGAGGGAUCCCACGACUUUGAAAAUGACGAAGAUUAUGAUGCAUCUCCGGACUUGUUAAGAAUGAUGGAACAAGAGGAUAAGCUAUCCUACCUCAUAGGGAAUCGUUAGAAAUAGUGAGCCUAGAGGAUGGAAAGGAGGUGAAAAUUGGAACUGAAAUUACCGCAAAGACAAGGCAAGACCUCAUCAAUUUGCUCCGAGAGUUCAAGGAUGUUUUCGCGUGGUCGUACCAAGAUAUGCCUGGGCUAAAUACUAACAUUGUGGUACAUCGUCUGCCCAUAAAGGAGGAUUGUAAACCCGUUCAACAGAAGCUUAGGAGAAUGAGACCUGACAUUGUGUUGAAAAUAAGAGAAGAAGUCAAAAGACAAUUCGACGCUGGUUUCUUACAAGAGGUCAAGUAUUCGGAUUGGGUAGCCAACAUCGUCCCUGUUCCCAAAAAAGAUGGAAAGGUACGAAUGUGUGUGGACUAUAGGGAUUUAAACAAGGCUAGUCCAAAGGACAACUUUCCACUGCCUCACAUUGAUACUUUGGUAGAUAACACGGCGGGCUAUUCAUUGUUUUCUUUCAUGGACGGUUUCUCUGGAUACAAUCAAAUAAAGAUGCAUCCCGGAGACAUGAGGAAAACCACAUUCAUUACCUUAUGGGGAACAUUUUGUUACAAGGUAAUGCCCUUCGGAUUGAAGAAUGCGGGAGCAACGUACCAAAGAGCUAUGGUGACUUUGUUUCACGACAUGAUGCACAAGGAGAUCGAAGUCUAUGUUGACGAUAUGAUCGCGAAGUCUAGAACGGAAGAAGAGCAUGUUCAGGUUUUGAAAAGGUUAUUUUUGAGAUUAAAGAAAUUUCAGCUCAAGCUUAACCCGGCCAAAUGCACGUUCGGAGCCAGAUCAGGGAAGUUAUUAGGCUUCAUAGUUAGCAAAAAGGGGAUCGAGGUUGACCCAGACAAAGUAAAGGCAAUACGAGAUUUACCUCCCCCGCGCACUCAGAAGGAGGUUCGAGGUUUCCUAGGGAGGCUGAAUUACAUCGCUCGGUUCAUCUCACAACUGACAGAGAAAUGUGAUCCAGUAUUCCGGCUCUUAAAGAAACAUAAUCCGGGCGAAUGGGAUGAAGAGUGUCAGAGAGCUUUCGAUAAGAUAAAACAAUACUUGGCUAAUACUCCAGUCUUAUCACCUCCAAGUCCAGAUAGGCCAUUGAUAUUGUAUCUAACAGUGUUGGAGAAUUCCAUGGGAUGCGUAUUGGGCCAACAUGAUGAGACGGGAAAGAAAGAAAGGGCAAUAUACUAUCUCAGUAAGAAAUUUACCGAUUGCGAGAUGAGGUACUCAUCAAUUGAGAAGUUGUGUUGUGCUCUAAUCUGGGCAACCCGAAGACUGAGGCAGUAUAUGUUGUAUCACACGACUUGGCUGAUUUCAAAGUUAGAUCCUUUAAAAUAUAUGAUGGAAUCGACCGCUUUGAACGGGAGAAUGGCUAGAUGGCAGAUCUUGCUCUCAGAAUUUGAUAUAGUAUAUGUCAGUCAGAAGGCCAUAAAGGGAAGUGCAAUAGCCGAUUUCCUAGCUAGUAGAGCCUUGGAGGACUAUGAAUCUUUGAAUUUUGAUUUUCCAAAUGAGGACUUGAUGUAUGUGGCGAAUACUGAAGAAAAUCCUCAAAUGGAUCACGUAUGGAAGUUAAAUUUUGAUGGAGCUUCGAAUGCUACGGGUAAUGGAGUUGGGGCAGUUUUGGUAUCCCCGAGUGGAGAUCAUUAUCCUGUUGCCAGUAAGUUGGACUUCGAUUGUACAAAUAAUAUGGCAGAAUAUGAAGCAUGUAUUAUGGGCAUUCGUGCAGCCAUUGAACGGAACAUCAAAGUACUGAGAGUAUACGGGGAUUCAGCGUUGGUGAUAUACCAACUCAAAGGGGAGUGGGAGACUAGAGAUCCUAAGCUAAUUGGUUAUAGAAAACUAGUUCUUGAAUUGGCUGAGGAGUUUGACGAUAUCACCUUCUAUUACCUCCCACGUGAGGAAAACCAAAUGGCUGAUGCAUUAGCUACUCUAGCUUCGAUGAUUCAGGUGAAUAGACUUGAGGCAAUGAGGCCUGUUCAGAUGAGUAUCUCUGAGACCCCGGCUAAUUGUUGCAAUAUUGAGGAGGAGGGAAAAGAUGAUUGUCCUUGGUAUCGGAGUAUCUUACAAUAUGUGAAGAAUCGGGAAUACCCUGAUCAAGCGACAGAGAAUGACAAAAGAACUCUGAGAAAGAUAGCCAUUGAAUAUGUCUUAGAUGGAGAAGUGUUAUACAAAAGAAGGAAGGAUCAAGUACUGUUAAGAUGUGUAGAUGCGGUAGAAGCCAAGAAAAUUUUGGAAGAAGUCCAUGAGGGUAUUUGUGGGACGCACGCCAGUGGUUUCACGAUGGCCAAGCAGAUCAUGAGAUUUGGGUACUAUUGGCCCACCAUGGAAGGAGAUUGCAUUGAUCAUGCCAGGAGGUGCCACAAAUGCCAAAUUUACGGAGACAAAAUACACGCACCUCCUUCACCUCUUCACGUCAUGACCUCUCCUUGGCCGUUUUCCAUGUGGGGUAUGGAUGUUAUUGGGCCAAUAUCACCAAAGGCUUCUAAUGGGCAUCGCUUCAUCUUCGUAGUAAUUGAUUACUUUACCAAGUGGGUGGAGGCUGCUUCAUAUGCAAAUGUCACAAAAGCAGUAGUCAGCAAAUUCUUGAAGAAGGAGAUCAUUUGUCGAUAUGGAAUGCCUGAGAGGAUCAUAUCCGACAAUGCGAUGAACUUGAAUAAUAGCACAAUAGCUGAAGUUUGUAGCAAAUUUAAAAUUAAGCAUCAUAACUCAUCGCCGUAUCGUCCCAAAAUGAAUGGUGCAGUGGAGGCGGCCAAUAAAAACAUUAAAAGGAUUGUGGGGAAAAUGACUGAAACCUACAAAGAUUGGCAUGAGAAACUAUCAUUUGCUCUCCUCGCCUAUCGAACAUCUGUUAGAACUUCUACUGGGGCAACGCCUUUUGCUCUGGUUUAUGGAAUGGAGGCAGUAUUACCCAUUGAAGUUGAAAUCCCUUCUCUACGGGUGUUAUCUGAGCUACAGUUGGAUGAAGCCGAUUGGAUCCAAUCUCGGUACGAUCAGUUGAACCUAAUAGAAGAAAAGAGGCUAAGAGCUAUUCACCAUGGGCAAAUGUACCAGAAACGAAUGAUGCGAGCUUAUAAUAAAAAGGUUCGCCCCCGAGAAUUUCGUGAAGGGGACUUGGUACUAAAAAAGAUUCUUCCUAUGCAAAAAGAUUUUAGAGGAAAAUGGAUGCCAAAUUGGGAAGGCCCUUAUGUUGUAAAGAAGGCCUUUUCCGGUGGAGCUUUGAUCCUAUGCGAGAUGGAUGGCAAAAGUUUACCAAAUCCUGUAAACGCAGACUCGGUCAAGAAGUACUUCACUUGAAAGAAAGGGGAACCAAAGUGAAAACCCGUAAAGGGCGCUUUGCUUCCUAAAAAAAAAAAAAAAAAAAAAAAAAAAAAAAAAAAACUUUGGAGAGGCUAAGGUGAAAACCCGUAAAGGGCACUUUGAGACCAAAGAGGGCUUGAGUCGAAAACCCGAAAAGGGCGACUCGAGUAUUGGGCAGGAUUGGAACAUCAGGACUUGAGCGGAUCAAAUUUUGAUCGGGGGAAUAUGAUGAUCUUCCUUUACUUGAACCAAUAAGAAAGGAUAUGCAACGUCUUUGAACAUUGACAGAGUAUUGCAGAUCUCCUGAACACAUGUCAAACUUAGAAGGGUCUUCGGAAAGUUUGUACAGAGAAACUCAAGCAGCGAUAGCUGGGGCACCUAGUUCUUAUGUGUAUUCUUGAAAAUACAUUUUCUUUCUUUCUCCCUUUCCUUUUGUGAAAACGCACAUUCUCAAUCCACUUCUUUGUUACCUUUCUUUCGCCAUCUUUGAUAUUUUAUUUGAGUUAUGAUCAGAACUAGCUUUAUUCUUAUCCAUUGUUAUGAUCUUUUUGCAAACAUGUUGCAUAGGAAUAUUGAUUAACGAACUAAUAAAACUUUCAGGAAAGAAGUUUUGCAUAUUACUCUGAAAAGUUCUAAAUAAUAUAGAAACCUGAAACAGGACUAUUGUUUAGAAAACACCAAGUUUAAAGGGUGAAGUAUCUAAGAAGGAAGAGUCUAAGUUAAAGACUAUAUUUUUGGAUUUUGUUGUCCAAACAUUGAUUGAACAAAAUGACGAGAUGUCGUGUUGGUGACAAAGCUUCAAUGAACAAACAAGCAAUGAUCACCAAAUGAUAAGAAAAGGUUUUCUCGGAGAGGAAAAUUUUGCAAUUGUGCAUGAGCAUUUGGUAUGACACCUUGGGAAUGAGGUAAAGGACCAAAGAGCUUCACAUUCUGUAUCCUUGAAUUGCGAUAGGAGAAGAUUGAAAAAGCCAUAUCUUUCUACCCUUGGAUUAUAGUGGGAGAAUGAUGGUACAAAUUUUGUGCCCUAAUAGAUUAAACUUUAAGGUUUACAGUGGGGGGGCAACCAGAUUAAGUGUUUCUUUGGAUAUACCAGACGAGCAAAAAGGCGUGGUGGUACGUCAGUGAUAAAACCUUAAUAAGUUUUUACGUGAUGUUAACCUAAGCAUUAAGGAAUCAUCUUCAUGACAUUUUGCAUUCACUCAAAUGUCAUUCAUACAUAUCUAGUUAGGAGCAUUUGAUUCAUUCUGAUUAUGUCAUCUGAAUCACUAGGCACAAUUAGGUUCAUAAAAUAGAACAUACAGGUCAUGUUCCCCAAGGGACAGAUCAAUGAAGACAAAGGAUCUUGCCUUCCUACAUUAACAGCGAAGCAGAUCGAAAACAAAGCCUUGCAUCCAUCGAUCGCAGUGGAGCUAGUUAAAGAAGUAGAUCUUGCCUUCCUGCAUUAACAGCGAAGCAGAUCAAAGACAAAGCCUUGCCUCCAUCGGUUGCAUUGGAGCAGAUUGAAGCCAGAGAUCUUAUCUCCCUGAGAUUACAGCGGAGCAGAUCAAAGAUAGUAAUCCUAUCUCCUUGAGAUUACAAUGGAGCGGAUUAAAGGAUCUUAUCUCUCUGAAGUUACAGUAGAGAAGAUCACAUCAGGUCUUAUCUCCCUGAGAUUACAGUGGAACAGACCGAAGAAUUGCAGAUCUUGUCUCCCUGAGGUUACAGCGGAGCAGAUCGAAGAUAUAAUCCUAUCUCCCUGAAGUUACAGUGGAGCGGAUUAAAAUAAAGGAUCUUAUCUCUCUGAAGUUACAGUAGAGUAGAUCGCAUCAGGUCUUAUCUCUCUGAGGUUACAGUGGAGUAGACCGAAGAAUUGCAGAUCCUAUCUCCCUGAAGUUACAGUGGAGUGGGUUAAAAUAAAGGAUCUUAUCUCUCUGAGGUUACAGCAGAGUAGGUCGCAUCAAGUCUUAUUUCCCUGAAGAUGCAGUGGAAUAGAUUGAAAACCACAAACCUCGUCCCCCUGAAGUUGCUACGAAGAAGAUAAAGGCUACAGGACGCAUCUCUCUAAAAUGCAGUGGAAUGGAUCGAAGCAACAAGACCUAGUGGACUGGAAUGAAACUACUUGAAAUGGAGAAGUACCAGAACAAGUCAAGACUCGGCAAGACCGGGCAAAAUGGGCCUUUCUUAGUCUUUGCUCUGUUAUCGUUACACGACAACGAGCAAAGAGGGGCAGCUGUUGCAGGCCCAUUUGCCCGGGCCCAAGAAAGAAACAAAAGAACCCAUACCAGCAGACCCACCAACUCCGCCGUUCACUUGCUGGCCGCCGCACGUCCCAUCGCUGCUCACCUGCUCCACCUGCUCUGCCGCUCCCAUGCCACUUGCACCUGCAAAGAGAAACAAACACGCAAGCAGAAACGAAGACAAAUUUUUUUCUUUCUUUCGGCUAUAAAAAGCCAGAUUUAAUAUGUAAACGGGGCUUCGGGAUUUUGGGUAUCAAAGAAGGAAUUAACAACAAUCAGUGAAUAAUAAGAAGAUAAAAAAAAAAAGCGAAAGAAAAGGUUGAUUUCAAAUCAUUUUCUCAGAUCUUGCGUUUUAUUUACUGUCUUCUGUUAUUUUUUAUUUUAUUUAUUUUCUACAACUCUUUUAACGAAACAAAAAUAGGAAUAGGGGUUACCUGUGCUACGUCGAAAGGGGAAGGACGAGCGGUCUCUCCUCGUUCUUCAAGUUUCGGACCUCCUUUUUCGGAUUUAGCCCUUCGAUUCGUGCUUGAGAUACACUAAACUUCGAAAAGGAUAAAAAAAAAUCUGAUUUUGGAUACUCCGGCCACCAUACGCGGCGGCGCUAGGGCGGAAAAUCGCCGGAGGCCUAGUUCGGCCGAUGACCAGCGCCGGGCCUGAAAGAAUGAGAGAGAGACUCUCCCUCUCAGUUUUUUUUUUUCUGAAAAAUGAAUCUGAUUUGUUUUUUUUUUGUUUUUUCUAUUAUUUAUAUUCAAAAUGAAACGACGUCGCUUUAGCAAAGGGGGAUCCGCGCGUCGACCCGACCCGACCCGAAGGAUCCGCGUGUUUUAGUUUUUUGGGCAAUUUAUGCGCGCAGUCCCUCUGAUUCGCGGCGUGUUUCAAUUUGGUCCUAUUUUGUUGUUUUAUUUUAUUUUGAUUUAGCCCUAACAUUUUAUUUUUGUUUUAUUUUAGUCCAUUGAGGUGCUGCGUUUUGGGAUUUUGGGUUUAUUUUCUGUUUUAGUCCUCCCCUCUUUUACGCGCGUCGCAAUUGGAUCCCUUUCGUUUUCCUUUAUUUCGAAUUGGCCCUAUAUGUUUUAUUUCAUUUCGAUUUAAGGCCCCUUUUUAGCAUAUUUUAUUAUUUAGUCAAUUUUUGUUAACUUCAUUAUUAUUAUUAUUAUUAUUAUUAUUAUUAUUAUUAUCAUCUUUACUAUUAUUAGUAUUGGUAUUAUUGUUGUUACUUUUACAUCUCUAUUCAUAUAUACUUAUGUAUUUUCAAAUAUAUAUAUCUUAUUAUUAUCAUAUAAGUGCUUGUAUAUGUACAUGUACAUAUUUUACAUAUAAUUUGUUUAAUAUAUAUACGUAUACUCAUAUUUCUUUUUAUAUAUAUCUAUACACAUAUACAUAUUUUUAUUUUUUAAAGUAUAUAUAUAUUUAUGUAUGUAUUUAUAUGUUUUUGUAUAUCUUAAUUUGCAUAGACAUAUACAUACAUAUUUUCAAUAUAUUUUAAACAUAUAUAUAUAAAUUAACGUACUUAUUUGUAUACGUCGGUAUAUUUUCAUUAUUUUUAAAUUCUAAUUUGUACAUACAUAUUUUCAUGCGCCUACUUUAUAUAUGCAUUUCAUUAUUUUCAUAUUCCAUAAUUUUAUACACCUAUAUAUAUGUGUACAUAUUUUUAUCUAUAUGCAUAUUUUUUAUAUUUUAAAGUAUACUUUACAUAUAUACAUUGUAAUUUAUGAAUACACACAUAUUAUAUUUUCUUUUGUCUAUACACAUAAAUAUAUAUAUCCCUUUGAAUUUUGAUUGUAUUCAUUAUUUAUUUAUUUCAUUUUCAUUAUUAUUUUGAACGAAUGUUCAAUUUAUUUGUUUAUAUAUAUUGUUAUUUUAUAUGAUUGUAGGUUUGACUUUUAUUUAUUUUAUAUUGUUGCUAUCGCUCGUAUCAUUUUUACACUUUUGUAUUCAUUAUGAUUUUGUCAUGUAUAACAAUGUAAUUUGCUUUCACAUUUUUUACUACGACUUCAUGUUUUUAUUUUACUCGAUAAUAAAAUUUGUUUAAAAAAAAGUGAUAUUUUUUGUUUAGAUUCGAGAGGAUCGUACCCUAACUUACUGGGUUUCGAUUUCCACAAUAAAUCUAAACACACUGAUCUUUUCAAACUCAAGUUUUGAAACGAUCUCGGGAAUUAAGAAAAGAUCGUGUCCUAACUUACUGGGCAUGAUCCCUUUCCUAAACCCGAGAUAAUAAAAUAUCUUUUAAAUAAGUAAAAUUCUGGCAUUCAUUUACGUAUUGGGAAUUUGAGACAUUGUAUUCUAACUUACUGGAUAUGAUUCUCUUUCUCGAAUAAUGUGAAAUAUGCCCAUUUUCCUGAAAAUUUUCAACGUUUUAAUACAAGGAUCGUAUUUUUUUUAAUUCUUCUAAGUUUUCAAUUUUUGACAUUAAGACAUUAAGUAAUCAACUAAGGUACCAAUUUUGGGCGUAUCGAGGGUGCUAAUCCUUCCUCGUGCGUAACCGACUCCCGAACCCGUUUUCUGAAUUUCGCGGACCAAACUUGUUGUUUUAAUAAAAUCAAACCGUUUAUUAAAAACGACCGCUUUUCGAGGUGAUCCAAUCACACCUUAAUAAAAGAUUGGUGGCGACUCCCGUUUUCAUUUUCAAAAUCCAAGUCGACCCCGUUUUCAUCAAAAAAAUGGUGUCAACAGGUGACAUCUAAUGGAAGAAUUGGGAUUUUCCCUUCCAAUUGAUUUCCAUACGGAUCCAAAACAAUAAAGCUAGAAGUUCUAUUAUCCAAAGGUCUUUUGAAUUCUACAAGGAAGUUCUGAGAAAGGUUUUUGGUAACUUAGAUAUCUUGUUUUCCAAAUUCAAUUGGGCAUUUCCCCAUGAAUCUGGUUGUUUGAAAGGUCUAAAUAGGUUAAACUGGACUGAUUAUUCAAGAAUCCAGGGAACAUCGUGAAGUUGCAAGAUGCCAACUUCAAUGUAGAAAAUGUGGGGAAAGAACGUGAGGAUAUAUUAAUAGCAGUGCCAUCGAUAGACAACAUGUUAUAUGAGAGAUCAAAACAUGCAAGAUUCCUCAAGUUUUGAAGGGCACUCAUUGGUAUCAAACCGCCGAAGUUGUUUGAAGAAAGUGUAAAUAUUUCUAGACCAUGAAGUUCAAACACAGACAUUGGAAAUCGUCCUUGUAAUUUGUUACUGCUAAGAACAAGGGUAUGAAGCAGUGAAGAGGCGUUACCAUGAAGGUUACCAAUGCUGCCAUUGAAUUGAUUUUGAGAAAGGAUAAGUCUCCGCAGUUAUGGAAUCCUAAACAAAGUUGGUGGAAUGCUUCCACUUAGCUUGUGGUUACUUCAACAAAUUCUAGCUUAGAAGGGCUUGACCAGUGAGUGGAAUGAAUUGUGCCGCUUAACUGAUGAUCAGUAAGAUCUAGCAAUGUAAGAUUCUUGUUAAGAAAAUGCUUCAGGACUGAAACAUGUCCACGUGUGUUUUUUUGUUAAGUUGAUUGUGUCAAAGUUUGUUCCUGCUUUUAGGAAUUAGUUAUUUGUGUGUUGCUUAAGUUUAGGAGAAAGUUAGUGGGUUGUUGAUUUUAUUUUGUAUAAAUUCUGAAUGAUUGUUGAAUAAAGUGUGUUCAGUUUCCUUCAUCCAUUGAGUUUUUUUUUCACUAAAAUACUUACAAUUGGUCUCGGAGUUGUAUUCUUAAGGGAUCUGUGAGUGAGUGUGCGAGAUUGCUGUGUCAUGGACGUCGAAGCAAGUUCCAGUUUCUCUUCAAUUUCUCCACUGGUGUUUGAUGGAGACAACUACCAGGUUUGGGCAGUUCGUAUGGAGGCGUAUAUGGAAGCUUUGGAUAUUUGGGAAGUAGUGGAAGAGGAUUAUGAAUCUAUUUGCUACUGUCCCAACUUCAGUUCAUAACAUUUCCAGUUCUUCUCUGUGGCUCCUCCUAAUCACUGAGUACUUGCCGGCGGUGUUAACGGUUCUACUUCCGAUAUCACGGUUGAGUGCUUUUGGACUUAAAGAUUAUUGACUUUUCUAAUAACAGACUUACUGGAACCAUGCCUGCAAAUUAAUCACUGUCAAGAAGCUUGGACAUUGACCGGAAAUCAAUUGUAUCGGUAGAAGAAACUUAUUUAAUCGAAAAGAAACAGGAUACACAUAUUACAAGCAAAAUAAAAAGGGGAAAACAUAACCAGCAAAAACAGCAUACAGUGGAAACAGAAACCCUAUCUCGAUACUUAAAUGAUUCCAGUGUAUAAUACUCCCUGUCUCAGAAUCUGAAGGGCUGUCUUCUUUAGCUGGUGACAAUCCGCACUUUGUCUUCAAAGGAGGUCCACAUAAUUCGGCAUUGUUCUCAAAUGAAGCUUCUGAAAAUGUUUGAAGUUGGGUGAUCGUUGGGAUUGGACCCACUAGCUUAUUAUUUGAGACAUUAGGACAUGAAAGGAAAUUGAGGUUUGCUAGCUGCAAAGGGAUCUCACCGCGUAGGCUAUUGCUUGAGAGGUCCAAGGACUCAAGCUCUAGCAGGUUUCCGAAAGAUGAUGGGAUUGGACCUGUGAAAGCAUUAUGCGAAACGUUAAGAGAAUAAAGUGCGUUGAAUUUGCCGAUUACUUCUGGUAUUGGCCCUUCAAAGUUGUUGCAUGAAAUGUCAAUGUAGGUGAACACGGUAGGGAUUUUCACCAGCUCCAACACUAAACCUUUGAUGGUAAUUGUUAUUGCAUCUUGAUAUUUAACACCACUUCUAAGAUCUUCACAUUGGAGAUGUUGGAGCUCUGAUUGGUUUUUAUCCGGAUUAGGCUGCAUAGCAUCCCACGUCCUCAAACAUGUCAGAUGCAGUUUACCACUAAAAUUGUUGGAUGCUAAGUUUAAAAUUUGAAGCAUUAGCCAUCCACUAUUAUUUCCGGGACAAUUAAUGUAACCGUUGAAUUUGUUGCAACGUGGCUAUAUUCUUCAAAUGAGAUGGGAACGAGUCGUUGAUAUGAUUGUUGCCAAUGUCUAAAAGCUUCACCAUUUUGCAAUUCACCAAUGAGUUUGGAACCUUUCCUUCCAAUCGGUUUUGAUUGAGAUUGAGAGUUUGUAACUGACAACUUUUCGAAGAAGUGUCAGAAAUGAUGCCACUGAGAUUAUUUCGCCUUAGAUUCAAUACCCCAAGUGAUCUAUUCAUCUGAAAUAGGCAUUGAGGAAUUGGACCACUCAGGGAAUUAUUAGAGAGAUCAAGUACUUCAAGAUAUUUACUGUUGCAUAUCGACUCAGGGAUACUCCCUUGAAUGUUAUUAUUUGAGAGGGAGAAGAAAAAAGCAUACUGAAGGGAGUCACCAAUCUGAGCUGGUAAAACAGAGUUGAAAUUAUUGUUUGAGUAAUCCAAAUAGGCGGCAUUUGAUAGAAUUGGGAUUUCCCCUUGCAAUUGGUUACCAUGCAGGUCAAGAAUCUCAACACUAGAAGUUAUGUUCUUCAAAGGUCUUUCGAAUCCUACAAGAAAGUUCUGAGAAAGAUUUAGGCGCGCAAGAUCUAUCGGUUUCCAAAUCCAAUCGGGGUAUUUUCCCAUGAAUUUGGUUUUUUGAAAGGUCUAGGACGUGUAAACUAAUCCGAUUUUUUAGGAAACCAGGGAACUCUGUUAAGUUACAAGAUGCCAAAUCUAAUUCGGCAAGUGUGGGUAAAGAAAGUGAAGAAAUGUUAAUAGUAGUGGCAUCAAUAGACCACCUGUUAUAUGAGAGACCAAGUGCAGACAGAUUCCUCAGGUUCUGAAAGGCACUCACUGGUAUCAAACCGCUGAAGUUGUUUGAAGAAAGAUUCAGUGAAGUGAGACCAUGGAGUUCAAACACAAACAUUGGAAAUUGCCCUUGUAACAUGUUGUUGCCAAGAUCAAGGGUAUUAAUCAGUGAAGAGGCCUUACCAUGAAAGUCACCAAUGCUGCCAUUGAAUUGAUUAUGAGAAAGGCUAAGUGUCCGCAGUGAUGGAAUGCCGAACAAAGUUGGUGGUAUGGUUCCACUUAGCUUGUUGUUUCCUAAGCCAAUAAUUUCUAGCUUAGAAAGACCUGACCAGUCAGUGGAAUGAAUUGUGCCAUUUAACUGAUUAAGAGCAAGUAUUAGAUCUCUAAGAUUUAUGGAUGAUGAGAAAGAUGGAAUGGGUCCACUAAAGUUAACGCUACUAAGACUAAGGCAAGUCAGGUUUGGGAAUUUUGUAAAGAAUUGUGGAAUCAAACCAGACAAGUUGUUUCUGUCCAAGCGAAUUACUGAGAGAGAUCAAAGCUUGGAAAGUGAAGAAUGUAUAGGUCCUGAAAGAUAACAGUCGGACAUGCUCAACACUUGCAACUCAGUCAAUGGUGAUAAGGCUUGACACCAUUCAUUCCCCAUAGCUGAUAUAUUUACACCAUAAAGAUAGAGAAUUCUUAGCUUUGUGAGAUUUUGAACAAGCGUCUUUAGAUUUGGCUUCUCAAGUUUCAAAGGUGUUCGAAAUAAUGUAUCAAUAGAUAAAUCGAGAGUGACCAACCUUGUCAAGCGUGAAAUCUCAAUUGGAAUUUGCCCUGUAAAGCCAGCUUCAGACAAAUUAAGAUAUCUCAAAUUCUCCAACUUAUCAAAUCUAGUAGGAAAAGCUGUCAUGAAUAGAUUUAAGGCCAAAUUGAGCUGCCGAAGAUGUUGAAGAUGGAAAAGACUACUUGAAUAGUCAAUUGGACUUGAAAUUUCUUGACCGCUCAAAUCAAACGGUAUAAAGAAAUGGAGGGAGGGGGGAAGCUAGGAUGCUCUAGGAGUAUGAAUGCUCAAUGAUUUGGUGUAGACCAAAAAAUAAAUUGUUGCGGAAUGACUUGCAUGGUUGUGUUGUAGGAAGACUAAAACAAGUGAAAUUUGAAACUGGACAAGCAAAUUGCAUUCCUCUGUCUCUUUGUAUAAAACAUUGUUGGUUUUGGUUUUAGUCAUGCUGUAAAUUAUGGAAGGCUUGUUGAAUUUCAAUAAUGUCUUCUAAGAAUCAAUUAUUAAUUUGUUUAUAUUUCAAUACAUAUGAAACGUUAGGUAUCAUCUAUUGUCCCUCUUUGUCUUUUUCUUCAAAAAUCUUUCUUCAAAAAAUUUCUGCCAAGUAACACUAAUUUGAUAUUAUGACAAGAGCCCCUUAAUAGUGGUAUCAAUAGCCCCUUUUCUUAAGGGAUCUCUGAGAGAAGCUCUGUAAGAAUCUUGAGAAAAAAAAUCAAGGGAUACACUUAUGAGGAAUUGAGAAAAAUGGAAUUAGAAUCAAGUAACAUGUUUGUUUUAGCCCCACCUGUGUUUGAUAGAGAGAAUUAUCAAGCAUGGGUUGUGAAUGCAAGGAUACAUAGAUGGUUGUGAUUAUUAGGAAACUGUCGAUGAAGACUAUGAGAUGGCUCCACUUCACAAUAAUCCAACUAUGAACCAGAUCAAACUAUACAAGGAGAGAACCACCAGGAAGGAAAAGGCAAAGGCUUGCCUUUAUGCUUCUGUUUCACCAACCAUAUUCAAUAGAAUUAUGGUUUUUGGAUCAACAAAGGAGAUAUGGGACUACCUCAAGAUUGAGUAUCAAGGAGAUGAGAAGAUCAAGAGCAUGAAGGUGUUGAACUUGAUCAGGAAAUUUGAGAGGCUGUAGAUGAAGGAGUUUGAGUCAAUCAAAGAAUUUUCAAACAAGCUGAUAGAUAUUGCUAAUAAGGUAAGGGUUCUCAGGAUUGAUCUCUCUAAUUGUAGACUAGUGCAGAAAAUACUAGUCUGUGUCUGAGAAGCAUAAAGCAACAAUUGCUUAUUUGGAGAACACCAAGAACUUGAAUUAGCUGAGAGUAAUGGAGUUGAUCAGUGUUUUACAAGUAGAGGAGGUUACUGAGGGAAGAAGGAAGCGUAAAAGAAGCAUUGAAGGCUAAGAUGUAGCAGGGUAAAGGAUGAAAGGACAAAAAGUGGAAAGGGAAGAAGAGUAGUGGUGAUAAUGGUUUAGAAGUUGUUGCAAAAGGUAAUGGUGUUGGAAAUUUCAACAAAUACUCUUCAUGUAAGUACUAUGGAAAGUAGAACCACCCCUAUUUCAGGUGCUAGGGAAAGCCAGAUGUGAAAUGUAGAAUAUGCAACUUGAUGGGGAAUAUUGAGAGGUUUUGCAAGGAAACAAGAAAUAAGCAAUAAGGUGGAGCACAUACUACAGUUAAAGAAGAAGAAUACUAGUUGUUUGUUGUCUCUUACUUCUUAUCAAGCAUUCCAUGUGACAGUUGGUUAGUUAAUAAUGGUUGCACCAAUCACAUGACUUGUGAUGAGAAGCUAUUUAAAGACCUUGACAGAUCCACUUAUUUUGUCACUGUAUUUGUUUUUCAACAAGUAACGAAAUUCAGGUCACACAAUCUCUAACAAAAUCCUAAACACUUAAAAUGAAUUAGUGUAUACUACUCCCAAUCUCAUAAUAUGAAGGGCUGUCUUUUAUAGCUAGUGGCAAUCUGCACAUUAUCUUCAAAGGAGGUCCACAUAAUCCGGUCUUGUUCUCAAAUGAAGCUUCUGGAAAUGAUUGAAGUUGGGUGCUCGUUGGGAUUGAGCCCACUAGCUUAUUAUUUGAGAUGUUAAGAAAUGAAAGAAAAUUGAGGUUUGCUAGUUGCAAAGGGAUCUCAGUACGUAGAUUGUUGCUUGAAAGGUCCAAGGACUCAAGCUGUUGCAAGUUUCCAAUAAAUGAUGGGAUUGAUCUUGUGAAAGCAUUAGGUCCACAAAACUCUUUGAAUUUGCCAAUUACUUGUGGUAUUGGCCCUUCAAAGUUGUUUGUUGCAUGAAAUGUUAUUGGAGGUGAAGGCAGUGAGGAUUUUCACCAAACUCCAACACUAAACCUUUGAGAGUAAUUGUUAUUGCAUCUUGAUAAUCCCGAUCGACUUCCAGGACAACAAAUUGGAGAUAUUAGACCAUGUGUAAAAUGUGGAUCUAGUACAUGUACUUUAACUUGAUUAAUUUAGUCCUUAUAUUUUUCGAAUUUGAAAAAUUUAGUUUUGACCCAAUGGUAAUAGUUAAAUCUAUUUGGUUAAAUUAUGUCAUUAGUCCUGUAUUAUGCAUAUAGUUAUAGAUUUAGUUCAUGUUCACCAAUUGGAUGUGGCUAUAUUUUUGAAUUUCAAAAUCUUAGUCUUAAUGCAAACGUUAAUUGUUAAAUCCAUUAACUAAAUAUCUGUAAGUAAUAUGUGAAAAUAACAAACAAAAAUAGCAUUUCACAUGUGAUAAUAUGUUUGACAUAUCAAAUUUUAAAAAUAACAGAAAUUAAUGAGUUUAAUAAUUAUCAUUUGGUUAGGACUAAAAUAUUUAAAUUCUAGACAUAAAAUGACCAAAUUAAAGUAAAAGUACAAAAUCCACAACUUAAGUAAAUUACAGGGUCUAAUAGUAGAAUUUAACCAAUCAGAAACAUUAAUCAGAGUUUGUCAUGCAGCCCAUUUGUAGACAACUGGUCUAACCUUUGGCCCAUCAUUUAGAAGGUAUAGCUGGAUCAUAAAUAAGCCCUAGGGUUUAUCUAUAUAAUGGUGUAAACCCGAUGAAGCAGCAUCUUCCACCUUUAGCUUUUUCGCGCGACCGUAAGCUUUUCGUCAUCACAUCACCAUGAGAGCCAAGGUAAUUUUAUGAAUCCCAUCUCACUCGGAUGAUUGCACUGCGUAGUACAUUUCGUCAUGCUAAAAUUUAUUCAAUAUUAUUAUCAUUUUAUGGGUUUUCAUUUGUUUUUUUGGGGGUAUUCUUCUUAAACAGUGGAAGAAGAAGCGUAUGAGAAGAUUGAAGAGAAAGCGCCGAAAGAUGAGGCAGAGAUCCAAGUAGACAGUGAAAUCUGUGGGUUCUGUUUUAGUUUUUGGUUUACUUUCUUAUUUCGAUCUUUUGAAUCGGUGUUAAUCCAGCAGUGGAUGGUUUUUAGAUUUUUAAAUUGUUGAGAACAGUUUACUGAUUUCUAUAGAAUGGGUAUUUUUACAAGUAUUGUCUUUUUGCUUUAUUCUGAUUAUUGAUUAGGUGUGUUCACAUUGAUUGCAAAUGUUGAUGAAUCAAAGUAUUGUAUAGCUCAUGACAAUCACUCUGUAGAGAAAGUAAUAGAAAAUACUUAAAAAAGUACCUGAUAAAUAGGAAGCUUUGGAUGAUUUGAUCUUAGAUCUCUUUUGUUUAGAAUCUUUCAUUCGCAGCACAGAUUGGGUUUGGAUUGAAUCCAUUCGAGUUUGGGUGUUUUAAGUUACUUGUUUUUGUCAUUUUGGGGUUUAAACUUUUGGGUAUUUUAAGUUACUUGAUUUGGUUAAUUGGAUAGCGGUUGGCCAAAUGUACCAUGGAGACCUGUAGUAGUAGUCUGGUUGUAUUUUGCCAUUCUACUUAAAAAAAACCAUUUGGUCCUUGGCAUAUGUGACAUAUUAUGUGUAAUUGUUUUAUGUGUAAUUGUUUGGUAAUUACUGACAGCUACACUAAUUUUUAAUAAUAAAAAUAGAUAAAAUUUUAAUUGGAAAGACUUGUUUGACUCUUAAAUUUAACGUACAAGAAUUAAUUUGUUAUUUUUGGAUAACGAGAGCAAAAUGAAAACAACAUUUUGUAUGGAGCUUUCAUGGUGCUUUUAUUGAGUUUUUGGGUUUGGGUUGGAUUCAGAGUCAAAAUUGUGUUAGUGUCUUGAAAGCAAUUAGUACUUGGGAAGAUGUAUCAGCAAACUGUAAGGUGCCAAUUUGUUCUGACAUGAACUCAUAUUUAAUAUUGAUUAAAUUUAAAGUCUGAGUUAAAUUUAAUAUUUUUAUUCACAGGAUUAAGGAUGUGUUUUUUUAUCACUUCAUCUGUAAAAAGAAAGGAGGAUUGAAAUAUGAGAUUUUUGCUUUUCAAAAGAUAUAGCAAUAGCCAUUGGUGUUAUACCUUAUUUGCAUUUGUUUUUCUUCAAAGAGACUAUUGUUUAGGGUACAUGAUUUGAUAAUUUUAAAACCAUUAAUAGAAUAAUUUUUUUAUAAUUAGUUGAAUAUUUGUACUUUUUAAUUUCAAUUUGAAUAUGGAAAUAUAUUUUGUAAUCCAUAGUUUUUUUUCAACCUAUAAAUGUUUAUGUCGAUCAAGGUAAAAUUGUAAAAUUUAUUUGCAAAAUUGAAAUGUGGAUUUGAGUAAUAAAUAUUUAAAUUUGAAGUCAUUCAAUAACAAUUUAAAAGUUUUGUUGGAAAUCAACUCGAUUAAGCAGCGAAUGAGUAAAAAUAGUAAAAGAAAUUAAGAAUUUGAGCAUAUGAAUUUAAAUUUAACUAAAAGAUUAUUUUUUAAAUUUGAUUGAAAUAUGAGUCUUAAUAAUUUUAUCUAUUUUUAUUAUUAAAAAUUAUUCUUUUGUUAUUGUUUAGUUAUUUCCAUUGAUACCUCUUUUACUACUGUAAUGUAAUCUUUAUAUUUAAAAUAAAUGGAAUUCCAACAAUAAAUAUUUGAAUUUAAAUCCAUUAUCACAAAUAUUUUAUCUAAAAAAAUAAAAAUGGACCCACAAAUUCGAAUAAUAAAUAUAAAAAAUUAUAUAGAAAUAUUAAUAUAUUUACCAUAUUCAAAUAUUAUCAAAAUUCAAAAAAAAAAUCAAAUAUUAAAUUUCAUCCAUAAAAUCAUUUCACUAUCUUUUUCUGUUUGUUAUAUAUAUUUUUUCUGUUUGUUUUAACCUUUUUUAAAAGUAUAUAUAUAUACUCCGAGUAGGAAGAAAAUAGAGAGAAAGGGCUGAGUGAGUGAGGUGAAGAGCAUAAAAUAGCUGCGAAAAAGGCUUAAAAGACGGUGGUUCUGCACCAUCUCUUCUUCUUCACUUCCUCAUUUCAUCAUCGUCUUCACCAAGAUCUGUCGUAUCACUUUAGCCAAACAGAAGAGAAAGCUUGAAAACAACUCCAUCUAAGAAACUUCACCAUCUAUCAUCCAUUUGAUGUGAAAAAGCCUCUCCUGCCGUUUCCGAAUCUUCUCGCGAUUCACCGGUCCGACUCGCUAACUCGACUCAGCUUGUUCUCUUACUAAAAAGUUUUAAGAGAGAAGAUUUUAGGAUAUACCGAUGGCGCUCUCGGUUUCUGAUUUGUCUGCCAUAUACUCGUUGCUCGCCAACUCAAUGAGUCAAGAUGAGUCUAAUCGUAAACCGGCUGAGUCGGCUCUUGCUCAAUCUGAAAGCAGGCCUGGUUUCUGCUCUUGUCUUAUGGUAAAUUUAGUUGUAUUCAUUUUGCAUUUUUCUGUACAAUGUGUUUGAAAUUUAUAUGCUUUUAAGUUGCAAUUUGUUUUUGUUUAUUGAUUUAGGAAGUGAUUACAGCGAAAGAUUUAGCGUCGCAAGUGGAUAUUCGAUUAAUGGCUUCUGUAUAUUUCAAAAACAGUAUUAAUCGGUAUUGGAGGAAGCGACGCGAUUUCUCGUAAGCUGUGCACUUUUUUUUUUCUCAUGCAUGUUAUUCAUAAGUAAGCUUAAACUUCAAAUAUGAGGAUCGGUUUUUCAUUUUAACUCUUUGGAAACUGCAUUUGAAUUUUUGAGUAGCAAGUCACACUGUACAGCUACAAGCUGAUGAAGAAUGUUAACUAUAGAUAUAUUAAUGAUCUGAAAUUAUAUAUUCAGGGGGAUAAGCAAUGAAGAGAAACAACAUUUAAAACAAAAAUUGUUAUCACACUUGAGAGAAGAGAAUUAUCAGGUGUUUCUCUAAACUUUUUCUUGUUGUUAUUGGUAAAGAAUUUAAGGUUAUUUGUAUUAGUUGUUUCUCACUUAUACUGGCGAAGCAGAUGCUUAGGGCUUUGAUUGAAGUUGCGUAUGAAUUGGACCUUGUUUAUGUUAAUUUGAUUUUAGUUUAGUAGUCCUUAAUAACUUUCUAUCAUUUUCAUUUUCUUUCUCUGAUACAGAUAGCUCAAAUGCUGGCAGUGCUUAUUUCAAAAAUUGCUCGCUUUGAUUAUCCCCGGGAAUGGUGUAUUAUCAUCACUCACUAAAUUUGUUGAUAUCCAUUAAUGAUUUUUCCCACUUCAUUGAGCUAGAAUAAGUCUUUCUUCUUCCGGCAUUAUGACAUCUCAUUGACAUUUCCUUUUCUAGCUAAUAAUAUUUACUGAUUUGUUGGUGUAAUGACUUCAGGCCAGAGCUUUUCUCAUUUCUUGCACAGCAGCUCCCAUCCGCUGAUGUUCUUACCUCCCACAGGAUUUUUAUGAUUCUCUUUAGAACUUUGAAAGAAUUAUCCACAAAACGUCUUACUGCAGACCAAAGGAAUUUUGCAGAGGUAUGUGAAUGCUGAAACAUCUUCCUUUUUAUAGCACCCCACUAAAUGAAAGUCUUGUGCUGGGCCUCUCAUUGACAGCUUAAUUGAAAAACAUUUUCAUGCUAAUGCCUACUAUAUACAUUUAGAACUUUAAUUAGUGGCUUCUGCAUUUUGGUUUAUGAGUACUUCAUAUGUGUUACAUUACAUUCUUCACUUAGAGAUUGUAAUUUAUUUGCUAUAGGUACAAACUCCUAAUUUUGCAUUUACUGUCCUGUUCUAUAGACUGAAAGAGUCUGACUUACUAAACUUUGUUGGCAGAUCUCAUCCCAUUUAUACAAAUAUUGCUGGCAUAUUUGGCAGAGUGAUUUACAAACAAUAUCACACGGUUUUUCUAUAAUCACACAGAGCUAUAAUUCAAAUGACAAGGAGGAGCGUCAUGAUGAUCUUUAUCUAACAUGUGAGAGAUGGUUGUUUUGUCUAAAGAUAAUAUGUCAAUUAGUGAUUUCAGGGUUUCAAAGUGAUGCGAAAUGUAUACAGGUACUUCUUUCUCUUUCCAUUUCCAUUUAGAAUAUUUUGAGGAUUUUAGAGUCAAUCACCAUUUCAUUAUAUUUUCUUGUUUUCUUCUAUAGCAGUUUGGAAUGAGAGCAUAUUAUUUGAAUGUUUCAUAUUGCAGGAGAUAAGACCAGUCAAAGAGGUCUCUCCUGUGCUUUUGAAUGCUGCCCAAUCAUUUCUUCCAUAUUGUAAGAUAGCUUGUGCUUGAUUUCAAUUUUUGCUCCCAUGUGCAAAAAACCAAAUUCAUUUACACUUGAACUUUGCCUUUUCCUCUCCUAAAAAUUAGGCGAUAAGCAUGUCUGGUCAAAUGAGUUAUAUUGUAAUUUUAAUUAGCCACAAAAUAAGCAAUCAAUAUAAUUAGCUUACAAAUUGGUCAAAUAUUUCUCCUGCUUUCUAUUUUGCAGGACUCAUACCCGUACACACUAUGAACGUGUGAUAUUUACAACUUUGUUGCAGAAUAGUGACCUCAUCUAGAAUUAGUGUAUGAAACUGAACCAUGUUCCUUGGUGUGUUUUAAUAUCUAUAUGUGUAUGUUUUUCGUGUACAUACAGAACUAGGUAGAACCUCUGGAAUAUAGAAAUUCUGUUUCCUUGGUCCGAUGGGAAUCUAUGUUAUUCCAUUCGCAUUGUGGAAGGAACUGACAUUUUUAUUCUGGAACUUUUGAUUUUUUAUUUUGGUCAGUAAACAAAAAAGAACUUUUAAUCUUGUUUUGAACAAUAAAGCUGAAGCCACUCAAAUACUUGUUGUAGAAGAUUUGUCUGAUUGAUUUAUUUUUAUGUUACCUUAUUUUACAGAUACAUCUUUGCAGAAUAGACAUCCUAAAUUUUGGGAGUUUAUAAAGAGGGCAUGUACCAAAUUGAUGAAGGUUCUAGUUGCAAUUCAACAAAGGCAUCCUUAUUCUUUUGGUGAUAUAUGUGUCCUUCAGCCUGUUCUAAAUUUCUGCCUAAAUAAGAUUACAGAUCCUGAGCCAGAUAUAUUAUCCUUUGAGCAAUUCCUGAUUAAGUGUAUGGUAAUGGCUAAAAGUGUAUUUGAAUGUAAAGAAUAUAAACCAAGUGUUACAGGACGGGUUAUGGAUGAGAAUGGUGUUACACUAGAGCAGAUGAAGAAAAACAUUUCUAAUGCUGUUGCUGGUGUUUUGACUAGACUUCUGCCCAAUGAACGGAUAGUACUUUUAUGCAAUGUGUUAAUAAGAAGGUAAUUAUGCUUUCCUUCUUUAUCUGUUUGUCUUUGGCCUGUUGCAUGUUCUGAUGUUCCCUUUUCCACCCAUUAACCCAUCUUGUGGUGGAAAACCACGGUUAAAAUUAAUAUUUUCUAAAUUAUUAUCAUGAUUUUACAUCAAUAGUUCUGUUAGCAAAGCACCCUGUAUUUCUUUUUUUUUUUUCCUGCGUUGCUUUAUAUCUGUCCGAAAUAAUGUAUUAACAGGUAUUUUGUUCUAACCACGAGUGAUUUGGAGGAAUGGUAUGAGAAUCCUGAGGUUUUUCAUCAUGAGCAGGAUAUGGUUCAAUGGACAGAGAAACUGAGGCCUUGUGCGGAGGCUUUAUAUAUUGUAUUGUUUGAAAACCACAGUCAAGUAUGUGAUAGUACUAAUCAUUUUGCAUGUUAUUGUGAUCCUUUCUUUUCUUUUUCCUUGUUGGCAGCUGUUUUAUAUGCAUGUAUGUUUAUUCAAUUUAACUUGUUGCAUUUAGCUGCUGGCUCCUAUUGUGGUGUCCAUCCUUCAAGAGGCAAUGAAUGGUUGCCCAACUUCUACAACUGAAAUAACUCCGGGGUUACUUCUUAAAGAUGCUGCCUAUGGUGCUGCUGCAUAUGUAUAUUAUGAUCUCUCAAAUUAUCUCAGCUUCAGAGAUUGGUAUACCCACUCGCUAGUAGGCUAUAUUUGGUUUAUACUUGCUUGAUAGUUUUGCUGCUUUUAUAAGCUUUCUGCCCUUGUUGAUUUGGGGUAAGAAUUUUUUUUUUUGGGGGGGGGGAGGGGGAGUGUUAAACCCUAAACCUUAUUUUGUUAGUAAACCCUAAUUUUAAUAAUCCAAGCAAAGUGGGAAUGUUAUUUAGUUGCUUUCUUUCUAAUAUAUCUUCGUUCAGUUCUUACUUGUUGAAGUUUUGCUCUUAAUGCAUUGUAAAUAAAUAAAUGAGUAUCAUCUUCUUAUGUUUCAAUAGGUGGUACAAUGAAUUCAUUUUUCCUGAAAAAUCCCGGAUUGCAGGUUUAAUGGUGCUUUAUCCCUUGAACUUUCUAAUGAUCAUCCAAAUAUGCGUAUCAUCCACCGGAAAGUUGCUCUAAUACUGGGACAAUGGGUUUCUGAGGUAACAUAAUAUUCUUCUGUAGGCCAUUUCAUAUCUCUGAGUUCUUUCUUGUGAAAUGUAUGUGUUUGUAUGCAUGCCACAGCAGUAUGUUGAGGCUUCCAUCAGUAUAGCAUCACGGUGACCAAUAGCUUUCAGGUCAGAAGCUUGUCCAAUCAAAAUUGAAUCUUCCCCUCUGGAAAACUAAUGGUAGAUAAUGUUUCAGACAUGGUAGAUUUCUAAUUGAGUGUUGCAGUUUGAUUCCCUCAGGGAAGAAACUGAUGAUUCAAGAAAAGUGUGAGAUGUAAUAUCGUUUGGCACUUGAUCCUGUUCUUUUGGCUGCAAUACUUGAAUAUAGAGUACAUAAAUCAAAUGCAAAGUUUGAAUAUGUGUCACUAGGAAUAGGCUCCAACCUGGCGAGCAUUGGAAGAGUGCUUUUUGCAUUGACUUGCAUCAAGAAUCGGGUAAUCUGUUGUAUGUUGUGAUAGUAGAAGAGUGAUGCAUCACGAGUCUGGAAUUCCUAAUGUCAAAAUAGUAUUGUGUAUAAUUUGUUAUUCCUCUUUAAUUUCUAUUAAUGGGAAUGUUAAUAAAGAGCAUUGGUUGCAGCAGGAGAAUUGGUCAUAAAUGAUUCUGAUGUUUGUGAUCCUGCAGAUAAAGGAUGACACAAAAAGAGCUGUAUAUUGUGCCUUGAUACGGUUGUUACAGGACAAAGACUUAUCUGUGAGGGUAUGCUCCAUACAUUCUCUUUCUCUUCUAUAUGAUAACUCCCGGCUUUGUUCUCUGCCCCUUCAUAAUGCGAAGGUUAUUUUGUACUUUGCUCACUUACUAUGUUGUCUAUUGUUGUUUUAGCUGGCAGCCUGUCGAUCCUUAUGUUUACAUGUUGAAGAUGCAAACUUUUCAGAGAGAGAUUUUUCUGAUCUACUUCCUGUUUGCUGGGAUUCAUGUUUUAAGUUGGUCAAAGAAGUUCAAGAGUUUGAUUCAAAGGUAUAUUAUGCUGCUGUUGUUAAUGUUCACUGUUUACUAAGGCAUUCUUUCUCCCCUAUCUGCUUUUCAAGAGAAGGUGAUAUGUGUAUUUUAUUGCAUUGUGGAAAUUUUCUGGAAUCUACAGUCUGAGCUUUAAAAAAAUUCUUUCAUGCUUGUAAAGCUUCUGAUGAUAAAGUUGAAUAGAUGGUGGAUGUUACUUGAAAACUACAGAUUUUUUCUUUGUCCAGUCCUACUUAAGAUCAUAAUUGAUUUCUUUGGUUCUCAUUAAAAAUAAAAAGUAUAAGUCAGAAAAUCUAGAUGUUUUUAUGAGUUUGUAACUCUUGUUUUUUUUAGUGUGUGUAUUUGUAUUUGUGCUUAUGCACAUGAUAUGCAUCUUUGUAUACUUCUGACAUUCAAUUCAUAUGUUGCUGCUUUUCUCAUCAAUUUCAGGUCCAGGUUUUAAAUUUGAUUUCUGUUCUUCUUGGCCAUGUCAAUGAAGUCAUCCCAUAUGCCAGCAACUUGAUGCAAUUUUUCCAGAUGGUAUGUUGUCACUGCUUUACUUUCUUCUCUGUGAGUUGCAUGUUUGCUGUUACGGAACUUGAUGCACUCUUUACAAGAAGUGUGUGUGUCCUAAUAAGUAGUUGACUACAACAAUAGAAUUUAUAAUUUGGGAUGCCAGUUAAGUGGCAUAUCUGGACAUGUCCAACUAUACUUAGCAGCUGUCUUUUUAAUAAUAUUUUCUAUUAAUUUCCUAUGAAAAGGUUUGGGAGGAAUCUUCUGGAGAAAGCCUUCUACGGAUACAGCUUCUUAUUGCUUUGCGGAACUUUGUUAUUGCCCUUGGAUAUCAGUCACCUAGUUGUUACAGCAUGCUCUUGCCCAUUCUUCAGAAAGGGAUUGAUAUAAAUGGCCCCGAUGAACUCAAUCUUUUGGAGGAUAGCAUGCUGGUUAGACUACUGCACAAAUAUUCGAUUAUUUAUCUGGCUGCCUUUAUAGCCAAGAACAUUUUAUGCCAAGUAUCCUCAUAUUUGCAGUUAUGGGAAGCCACACUGUCUCAUGUACCUGCAAUGGUGCCUCAACUCUUAGCAUAUUUCCCGUGUCUUUUGGAAAUCCUGGAAAGAAAUUUUGACCAUUUGCAGGUUAGACUUCUUGAAUUAUUACUGCCCUUGUUAGGUCUGUGCUUUCAUCCCCCUUUACAAACAGCAUUUGGUGCUUUAGGCUUUUUCAAGAAAUGAUUGUUUAUAGCUGACUCACCUGUCCUCUCUUUUAAUAUCACAUUGAUCUGAAUAUACUUGCAGGUAGCUGUUGAUAUUAUUGAAGAUUACAUUAUUUUGGGUGGAAGGGAAUUUCUUAGCAUGCACUCUUCCAGUGUGGCUAAACUUCUAGAUCUCAUUGUUGGAAACGUCAACGAUAGAGGGCUGCUUUCAAUUCUUCCCAUCAUUGACAUUCUAAUACUGGUAAUAUACUGUCAACUUACUUGUCUUCCUUAAAUACAGUUAUUCCUUAAAUUGAUUGAUACCUAUAAAUGAUAAAAUUGUUGAUUGAUGAUGAUAAAGGUUUAGAUCAUUAAAAUUGUAUCGGAAGUGCUCACUUUUUGCUAUUUUAUAGUGUUUCCCCAUGGAAGUGCCGCCAUUAAUCAGCAGUACUUUACAAGUAAGCAUUGUUCUUUAACUGCAGAGAUUAUUCAUCGUUCACGUUCUCAAUUAUAAUUUCCAUGGUAAUAUACCUUGUCGUAAAUCUAAUUCCUGUUAUGCCUUGUUAAAUGUUGGUAGAAACUAGUUGUUAUUUGCUUGAGUGGAGAUGAUGGUGAUCCUUUCAAGACUGCCGUAAAAGCAUCUUCAGCUGCUAUCAUAGCAAGGAUUUUGGUGAUGAAUACCAACUAUCUUGCACAACUAACAUCAGAACCUUCUCUUUCAUCAGUACUGCAGCAAACUGGUGUAGCUAUUGAAGAUAAUAUUCUUCUUUCUCUAGUUGACGUAUGGCUUGACAAGGUUGGUAUAAAAUAUAUACCUAAGGAGACUAGUCAAAAGAUCAUCGAAGUGUUUGUUAGUUUUCUGAGCUAUUUGAAUCGAUGUUUUGACUCCAAGAAAACAACCAUUCUGACUAUCUAGAGGCUUAAUUGGCCAACUAGAAUCUAUGAUAGGGAAUCAAAUCCAGAUAUUAAAAGAAUCCGACUAAAGGCUUACCAGUACAGUUUGAUUGGGGAAUGUUUUUGAUAAAAUAGACACUCUAGGAAUCUUUUAAACCCAAAGUGAUGAGGUCAACACUAACAUAUUUAGAUGCUCCUGCAUCAGUCUAUGAGACGCACAAACUUAUUAACCUUUGUAUGUUUAUACAGGUAGACAAUGUAUCUUUGCCCCAUAAGAAAGCAUUUGGACUAGCACUUUCCAUAAUUUUAACUUUAAGGUUGCCUCAAGUACUAGACAAACUAGAUCAAAUACUAAGGUAUGAGCUCAAUCUUGAUUUUGAUUCAUAGUAUAAGAUUAUAUUAUAGGCAACGGUGAUAAACUUUUAUUCAUGCAGUGUUUGCACUAGUGUAAUUCUCGGAGGGACCAAUGACUUAACCGAGGAAGAGUCAAGGUUAACCCUCAAACCCUUGUGUUAUUUUAAUCGGUUCAGAGAUUUGUAACUAUUUUUAAUCCUAAUUUUUGGUAAGAAAUUGCAGUGGUGAUAACAUGAGCUAUGGCAGGUCACACGAUGAGGAUUUGCUUCCUAGUAAGGAGUUAAGGAGAAGACAGGUUAACAUUCUCUAGUUAGGUCAUUAGUCGAAUUACAUUUACUUAGGCAUAAUGUCAAUUUAGCCUUAACAUUUGCACCUUUUGUCAUUUUGGCUCUUAAUUCUUUUUUUCUUUUAGUAAAUUUGGUCCUCAACUUUUUAAAAAGAGUCAAAUUUGACCAUCAACCUUUUGAAAAAGAGUUUAUUUGAUGCAUUUUCAUGGAAAUACUAAUUAGAAUGUUAAGUUUUUGUUGACAUGGCAUAUAAACAAAUAAUGCUAUAUUAGCAUGAAGUGCACGUGGACUGCCUCACAGGUUGUCCUGCCAACAUAUUUAAAAAGUUAAUGUUUUAGUCAACAUUAAGAAAAACAAUGACUUUUUUUUUUUUGAAAAGUAAGUGUCAAAUUAGCUCCAAAAAAGGAUAAGGGUCAAAUUGACAAAAAAAUAUAAAAGUUAGAGGAUUAAAUUAUUUUUAUUAUUAUGACAUUUAUUUAUUUGUGACGAAUUGGUUGUGCCAUCAUUCAGAUCAAAGUCUCGGACCCUAUCAACCGGUUAUCAUUAGAAAACUCAGUGAGAGACAACCUUCAAACUUGUGCUGCCCUUCAUGGAGAGUCGUUUAAUUCUGCCAUUGCUAAAAUACAUCCAGCAGCUUUUGCACAGUUGAAGCAGGCGCUAAAGAUGCCAUAAGCCAGCAUUGAUGUUCUCUUUUAUCAACUGAGGUCUUUCUUUCCCGGCUGAUUAUUUUCCAUUUUUCCAAAGAUUGAGAAAACAUUUAGGUAAGAUUUUCCAAUCUUCUAUAUAGUAGGCGUGCCCUUAAAUACCAUCUUUACCAUUGCAUUGUUUGGUUCUGGUCUGCUGCUAAUCCCUAUCCUUGGAUGGAGUUGGACAUUUAGUCCCUGUUAAAUGUUAAACCCUCUUUUAGGAUUAAAAAAAACCUAGUCCAAUCCUUAGACAUGCAAGUAUUUUUGUCAAAAUGUGUCACUUAACUCUUAAGCAAUCAUACUAACCUAAAAAGCAAACAAUUAUGAACUCAAUAAGCAUACCUGAUCUUAGCCAAAUUUUGACAAAAUACUAACAGUGUCAACUAUAGGACUAUUCCUUUUGAAUAGGAAAGAAGAAAAAAAUCUUUUAGCUUUCUUAGUAGAGAUAAAUAUCAAAUUUAUAUAUGAAUUUUGAUUUGGUGUAAUUGUACAGAUGGCACUUGAACUGUGGUUCAUAUAUAUACAUGAAGCUGUAAUUUUGAUUCAGUUGUAUGCAUUUAAAGAAUAAAUACAUACAUUUAUUUUCAUUUUGGAUUAAUAUAAUUGUUUGUGUAUGCAAAAUAUCAAUGUAAAAUAGUGCUAAUUUGAUGAUAUCCAUGACUUGUGAAAAUUGAAUCAAAUCAAAAUUCAUGUGUCGUUUUUAUAUUUAUCCAAGUACAGUGGUUAUAUCUCAAAUUUGGCCAGAGUUAACUCUGGUGCUGUAUUUUGACACUUGUUUUUUUUUUUAACCGUAAGUAGGGAUUCAUGGAAUUUUACUUUUGUCAGUAAUCUGAGCAAAAUAAAAAUUUUCCAACCAUUGGAAUCUUAAUAUGUGAUAGUUAUGCCGUACCUGCAUCUAAUUUUAGGGGGGGUUUUUUAUUGGUUUCAUUCCAGGUGAUAUUGAAGGUUUCUGUUGAGAUGAAUUUGGUGGUGUUACCUACAUUCUUUGUAUAUUUUCCUAAAUGGCCGCUUGGCUUGGAGUGUGUUGAUUUAUUCAUCUGUUACAAGGGCACCAAAAAAAAGACUGUAAAUAGCCCUGCUGCUUCCUUACCUGGGUGCUUUUAAAGCAACACAACAGUGAGUUCAUGGUCUUUUAGUCUUUUACUUGCGAGCGAGUGAAAUGAAAGUUUUUUAUUUUUCUUGAAAACAAAUUAAAGAGAAUUUCUGGAGGGAUUUCUUACUUCUUGGCUUUUCCAGUUUCUUGGGAUCAAUAUCAAUGAGUUCGGAUUUCAUUUGCUUUUUUAAAAAAAAGUUUUAAACAACAAGCACAAGAUGGCAAAGUGCAUGCAUUCACCGAAAGAGCUUUGAAACCAAACCUUAAGGUCAUAGUGAAUUCAACCUUUUAUUGUAAAAGUGAAGAUGCAUAAAGCUCGCUCGUGAGAGCAUUGGAUCAUUGAUGUGUAACAGACGCAAACUAAUACAUACUAGAAAAGAACGAAACCUGAAGCCAAAAUCCUAAGCCCAAAGGACCUUUUAAAACAAUAGCAACCAACAAGCACAGCAACAGCAGCCAGGCAACCGGCCACUUUGGAAAAGGUUUUUGUUUUCAGAGAGGGGCUAGACGUUCAAGAAGAAAUGGGAAACUCGAAAAGAAUACAUUAUUGUUCAAAUUGAAUACCUCUGUAUUAAUAAUGGUAAACCAGAUAUAAAGGAUUCAUUCAAUUCUACAUUGAAAUUACUUUUAGAAUUGUGAUUUUAAAUCCAACUAGAAAGCAAAUUUCCAUCAAAACAUCGGUUUGCCCUUCAAACCAAACGUAAUACCUUUAGAUUUUCCAUGCAGACAAACAAACAAACAAACAAACCCUCCCAUCCACAGGUUCCAACAUAAUUUGAUUGUUUUGCAAAUAUUAAGAAAACUACGUAACCUGAGUGGGAAUAUAUAGAUAAUUUUCUCCUUAAACCACUAAAUAUUAAUUAUAUAUAAUAAACUUACUCGAGUAUAUUGUUGCUUUCUCUUUCAGGUCUAUGCUUUUGAAGCAGCCUCAUCUUUCUUAUCUUCCUCUGUUUUUGCUUCAUCUUUGACGGCUUCCUUGGUGUUGGAGGCAACGACCGUAUCUUCUUUACCAUCACUUUUAAUUUCUCCAACACUCAACUUGUCGAGGAGAUCAGCAGUGACUGUGGCGUCUUUGUUUUCCUCUUUCUUUCCCUGACUUUCAGCAACCUCUUGAACUGUCUCCAUGAAGGUCUUGCAAUCUGAACAUUCACGAAUAUGUCAGUGAUCCCCAAGCAUAUAUAAAGGGUUCAGUUCAAAUUCAGGUUAAUCAGGUCGGUUUUUGGGUUCAAAUUAUAAUUGACACAUAACAAAUAGAUAUCUAUAUCCAACACUCACACUUUAGUCCAAGUAACAUUGUUACACGAUUGAACAGAUUCGAUCAGAAAGAUGUUGAACUCGAAAAUGGACAUUGGUUGAAAAAAUCCCUCAUAGAACAAACACUCAAACAUGCAGAAGCAAAUAAUCACCUUACAUGCUUCACUUCCCCAAGAGAUGCGGGGAAUACAAAUAAAUGGGUUUUGUUUUUUAUAUCCUCCUUCACUUAAGAUUACCAAAUAACUGUUUCAUCUUAUUUCCUUCACUGAAGGUACAUUGGCACUAAUAUUCAUAAAUGAUCUUUUAAGCUUUUAUGUCCCACAAGAAGCAAUCUAAAAACUAAGGGGCACCAAAAUAAGUUUGUUAUUUCACACUGAAUUAUGCCAUAAGUUUGCACUAAAAUAACUUUUAAAUCAAAUAAAGCAUGUUUAGAACAAAAUUGUUGAUAUAAGCUAAACAUGAAAAUCCUAUCCUUAGAUUAUAUUUUGACAUAAUUUAGUCUGCAUUGCAUGCUAAACAUUUUAAAAGGAAACAAUAGAGUGGAUUCCAAGUCCAGUGGCGGAGCCAGAAAAUUUUUUUGGGGGCCGGAAUUAAAUUGUGUAUUUUUAUGAUAGUAAAAAUGCAAUUUCACCAUUUUAAUAGUUUAUAUCUUUAUAAUUUUUAAAAGAUUAAAUCAAAUUUUUAUUAUUAGGGAGGUCAAAGUGAAAUUUUACCAUUACUAAUUUAAAAUUUUAUAAAUUAUAAAGGGCAUAAAUGGAAAAUUUUAAUAACUAAAUUUAAGAAUUAGAAUGAGUUAAUCACACAAGCAUUGUUUUCUCUAACUAACGGUCGGGGUACCAAAAUAUAUGCAGCAGAAGAUGUUGAUAAGUGUUAUAAAAUUAGCAAAUAAAAGAAAGAUGAAAGAGUAAGAAACAACUAAAGCAACGAAAAGAAGAUGCUCACUCUCAACAGAAGGAAAUCUGAUACAGAACAUCUCUUCUUUCAAAUUCCCAUCAGCGAAAUCAGCGGCGUGCCAAACGCAUGAUUUAUCAUUUCCAGAAUGUUCUUGCACUGUCAUUGUUGGAAUAACUGCAGAUUCAAAAGCAUCAAAAUCAAUCCCCACCAACCAAAAAUAAAAUAAAAUAACCAAAAUAAGGUUCAAAUAUGGCGUUGGCAAAGUUCGAGAUUUAGUCAUGUACUUAAAAUUUUUAAAUUAAAUUCUUCUAGCUUCAAUCAUUAAGAUCAGCAGUAUUUUCGAUCAAAAAUCCUGACAGAAAUACUAACCGUAUUAAUGAUUAAAUUAAGAUUUUCUAAUAGAAACAGUAAUAAGAUUUAAAUUUUUAAUUUACUAAACCCUAAAGUAACUUACAUCAAAAUAAUAACACUUCAAAUUCUACUUGAACAAACUUCAACUUCGUUAAAUAUGCAAAAUCAGAAAAAUAGUAAGAGACUGUAGUAAAAGAAACAGACCGAAAUGGUUAGCACAGAUCUUAAGGGUUUUAGAUUGGCGCAUGACAAGACGGACUUUGCCAUUGACUUUGUGCUUCAAGAGCUUCACAUUUCCAACUCCUCUCUCCUUCCAUUGAUUCCCUUCCUUAUCGAAUCGAUACAGCUUUGCCUUCCUGCAACGAAUCAUUAAUAUUUUUCAGCAGAAAAAAAGAAGAAGAGAAAGAUCUCUAAAAGAAUAUAAGAAAAAUAUUCUAAACAGCAGAGAUUUAGCUCACAGAUCGAGAAUCGGAUCCUCGUCUUCUUCACCAGUAGUGACGGCGACUUCCUCGAGCUUGACGAUAGGAGCGACUUGAGCACCGGUGUCCUCAUCGUCUACGGCGGCGGCGGGAGCGUUGUCAUCGUCUUCUCUGCAGUGCGACUCUGGACCGGCUUUAUCAUCGAUCGCCAUUGGUGCGGCUAAGCAAGCAAAAAUAUAUAUAUAAAUAUAAAGAAAGAAAUUAAAAAGAAAAGAGAAAGCGAAGUGAUAGUAUGAGUGAAACCCACUGGCACUCUGAUCUGCUAUAUCUAUAAGAGGAAAAAGGCAAGAAAGGAAGGAAAUGCCAAGUGGGACGAACCCAAGAGCAACGGUGUCGUUUUCUCUUGUCAGGCUUUGCUUACGUCAGACAGACAGAUGUAAAGAUGCUUUUUCUUUCUUUAAAAUUAAAAUACUUCUUAAUUUCAUUUUAAAUAUUUUAAGUGAAUUUUUAAAUUAAAAUAUUGCUUUAAUCGAGUUGUUUUUUGGACUAGUUCUAACCAAUUUCUUUUAAUCCAUUAUGGAAAAUUCUAGAAAAUACUCUUUGAAAGGGAUUUUUCAUGAGCUCAAAAUAUUUUAAUAAUUUUGUAAGAGAUUUUAGUAGUUUUGUUAAAUAAUUUGGGAGAAUUUCAAUUUACAUAGAGUGAAUUCAAUAAUUUUUUGAAAACAUUAUAAUAUUGCAACCCAAAUUUAGUAGUCAUAAUAGAAUUCUCUUCUAUUUUCAAUAUCAUGUUAAAAAAAAUUUUGGAUGACCGGUACGUUUAGCUGUUGUUAGUGUAAAAAUAACGGUAGCGAUGAAAAUAGAUAUUAUAGUGAUACUGUAACAUGAAACAAAAAAAAAAAAGUUAAACGCAUCACACUGAAGGUCAAUACCCAUCUAAAAGGGCAUUUAUUCUAAUAUGUUUCAACUCUAAACAAAUGUAGAUUAAUUAAUAUUUUUAACCAAGUUCAAGUUCAAGAUGGGACAUAAUGUUUAAAUUGAUAGCUAUAGUAGAUUGAUAAAAAAAACAAAUUGAAACACCUCGAGAUCAGUUUAGGAAGUCUUGAGAUAAUUGAACUUAUGUUUGGAGAUAAAAUAAUUUUUGUUUCGAGACAAGGGUAUAUCGAAGCUAAAUUCAUUUUACCAUGUUCUAAGUCUUGAGAUAAGGAACAUCGAAAUUAAAAUAAGGAAAUAGGAAAAGUUUAUCUCAUAAAUGCGACCUAAUUCCAAAAUUGAUUUAGCAUAAUCCUAUAACUCGAUGAAUCAAAUUAUUAAACAUUAUAAACGUAAGUUUGUAAAUAAGAUAGAUGCUUGAAUUGAUAUGAAUGAUGAUUAUACAUUGAAUGAUAUGAUUAAGAAAUAAAUUAGUUUGAGUUGUUUCAACAACGUAAUAUAAUAUUACACAAAUCUGAUGAACAAAUUAAGUGCGAAGCGUUACAUGUAAUGGUAUCAAAUUUAAGGAUUCAAUUGAAACUUUUUAAUAAAAUUAAAAACAGAUUAUAUUCUCCUUUCUAGUUCAAAAAUACUUCAAUAUUUUAUGCUUUAUUAAUGCUUUCACAAUAGAAUAUGAUUGAUGGAAAAACUAAAUUGACAUGCUUGUUUCAAUGAAGAUCUGAUGAUAAUUUUUAAAAUUAUUAUUUUAAUAAUUUUCAGUAAUUUUUAUCACUAAAAAAUUUAUUAGAUAACUUUCGAAUUUUAAUUAGCGACAAAAAGAUUUCCCAUAAAUAACAAUCCACAUAUAAAACCAAGUAUUUGCAGAGGAAAAAAAACUGCAUUGGUGAUCCAAAUAUGAAAAUGUCUUGACUUAUUUGGUUGAACAUUUAAUUUGGCCAGCAUUUGCAUGCAAUGAAGAACAAAACAAGCAUUGGAUGUAUAAAAUAAGCAGACCAUAGAGAAAUGAGCACAUUUAAUUUCCUAUUAAGUUGCACAUCACACACAAACACAAGACUCCAAGUGGAUGUCAUGCCAUAAAAUAAAAAAAACUACUCGACAUUAAAAUUUGAACUCAUAACCAACAAGCUACAAGUGAACACAGUAUCAAAAAUUUUGACAAUCAUCAUAAUAUAUAAAAGGGCAGAUUAGAAAAUAUGCGCAAAAACAUUUUUAUUAUUGUUUCCUUAUGAUGCACCACCAUUUGUCGAUGCAUCCAUGGCCUCACCCUCAGCUCCACCCUCAGCUUUAUCACCCUUCUUACCUGCACAAACCAAGUACAUGUUCUUCAGUUUUUACUACAAAACCCUCAACAUUUGCUUCCAAUAUAGGUUAAAAUAUGCCAUAAGUCCCUGCAUUCAUUGUAAACUUGAAAUUUAAUCCCUAUACUUUUAUUUUUUAAAAUUCAGUCCUCAAAUUUUCAGAUAUCCAAAUUUAUGUCCAACGGUCAACACUGUUCUACAACAUUUUUUAAACCUCCAAUAUAAUAUCAACAUAUACGUCAUACCUUUCUUCUUCUUCCCACCACCUUUCUUCUUUGUCUUUGUUCCCAAAGCCAACCAGGCCUUGAUUUCAGGAUCAUCUAUCGUCUUGGUUGACUGCAGUUCUUGCAGGGGAUGGGAUGUAAUCCGAUCUGAUCCAUUUGGCAUUAGCAAUACUGUAAAUUUGAUAUGAGCAACAUAAUCACCUGCAGAAUUUUGGUACAUAACAGGUAAGCUCAUUGUGAAUAUAUUACAAGAUACAAUCUUCUGUUCAUUAUCAAACAAGAUUUCAGCCAUGAAUGCCUACCAGGCUUCUCAUACAGAACAGGGUAUGGCUGCAAGAGAUCGUGAUUCACACAUUCAACUAAACCUAGACGAGCCCUUUUCUCUUCCAAGGCGCUGUUUGAGGAAAACCCAUGUUAAGUGUCAAACAGCAGAAAUAAUCACCAAUGCAAAACUCAGAACAAGUGCAAAACAAAUACAAACCGAGCGGUGAAUGGCAGGAUGGGGAAUCUCUGAUUUAUCUCGCUGAAAAUAAAUCUAGAGGCCUUCAUCUUUAAAUGAUAGUUCUUGUCGACAGCUCUCUUAUAAAUAGUUGUCUGCUUCUCAUCCAAUAACUUUGGCUGCAAUUUCAAUAACACAUUGAAAUCUUCAAUGAUAAAUUAACCCCAACACAAGUAUAGCAACAAUGUUGAAAAACAAGAGAAGACAAUUACCUUGCCUUCACCAGUGCUUGCAACUAUAUCUACAGCAUAAACUUCAUUCUCCUCAAACUCUGCAUCAUCAACUCUUGUAUCUGGAUUGGAGACGCUUAGUAUGACUUUGUUCCCGUCUAUCACAAACUGCUUCAGUUGAUGGCUAAGAACACCUUCAACAAUUUUGCAAUCAUAAGCUGCAGCUACCUUCUGAAUUGCAUCAGAUACAUCUUUGUUCUGCCAUUAAAACAAUAAUGAAAAGAAACUAAGUACAAUGAACAAUUCUGAUUUUAAAUACACAAUGAUGCAAAAACAAUAUAAAUCGCAAAGGAAACUAGCUAUGCAUUUAUUAGAAAAGCAGUUCACAAGCAGUCUGUUCAAAAAGGAUAAAUGAUAAAAAUAUUUCCCUAUCAGAGUAACUAUGACAAAAGCUUCACUUGGAUGUUGGUCCAUAGCAUAUGAAAACUAUUCAUCACAUAGGGUGAUUUGCAGAUGGAAACAAGAAAAUUCUUUAGAAUAGUGAUAAAUCGAGUAGUAGACACUAGACAGCUUCUCAAUGUUUGACAAAAACAACAUUAAGAGUAAUGCCAGCUUUAUGGUAUUUUUUAAAGAAAAUUUAGGUCCCAUAGGCAAUUGGAAUAAAACAAGAAACUGUUUAACUCCUCAAGGAGCCUAGCAUGACCAGACAUAGUAUUGGCAACAGGGAAAAGAGGAGACCGAUAAGAAAUUGAUCACCUCGGCAAAGUUGCCCAGCCUUCAAAUUUUUAUUCUACAUCUUACAUAGAGUGACAACCACUUCACGAUAGUUUGAUAAAAACAAGCCCGAGGAUAACUACUUUAGAUCUAGUUUGAUAAAAGUAAUCAUGAGGGUAACACCCACUUCAAGGUAAGCUUUAAAGAAAAUUUAGGUCCCUUGGGCAAUUGGAAAUAAAAGAAUAUGUUUAUAUCCUCAAGUGCCUAGCAUGACCAGACAUGAUAUUGGCAACAGGGAAAAGAGGAGAUUGAAAAGAAAUUAAUCACCUCGGCAAAGUUGCCCAGCCUUCAAAUUCUAUUCUAUACCUUACAGAGUGACAACCACUUUAUAGUAACUCUUAAAGAAAAUUUAGGUCCCUUGGGCAAUUAGAAUAAAACAAGAAAAUGUUUAUAUCCUUAAGGAGCCUAGCAAGACCAGACAUAAUAUUGGCAACAGGGAAAAGAGGUGAAUCCAUAAGAUAUUGACCACCUCGGCAAAGUUGCCCAUCCUUCAAAUUCCAGCCUACAUCUUACAGAGUGAUAACCACUUUAUGAUAAUUUGAUAAAAACAAUUCCUAGGGUAACUACUCUAAAUCUUGUUUGAUAAAAGAAAUCAUGAGGCUAACAGCCACUUUAUAGUAUUUUUUAAAGAAAAUUUAGGUCCCUUAGGCAAUUGGAAUAAAACAAGAAAAUGUUUAUAUCCUUAAGGAGCCUAGCAUGACCAGACAUAAUAUUGGCAACAGGGAAAAGAGGAGAUCGAUAAGAAAUUGACCACCUCGGCAAAGUUGCCCAGCCAUCAAAUUUCUAUUCUACAUCUUACAUAGAGGGAAAACCACUUUACAAUAGGUUCGUAAAACCAUGAGAGUAACACACUUUAUGGUUGUUUCUAAAGAAUUACACCAAAAGGAUGGAAAAUUUGAUGCAAAAACUGAGUUGAGGUAACAAUUCCCCUAUCAGAGUAACUAUGACAAAAAGCUCCAUUUGGAUAUAGAUCCAUAGCUAAUAAAAAAGAGUUCAUCAUUUAGGGAAUCAAGUGAAAGUGACAUAUUAAAACAGUCUUUACUCUUUUCAAAAAUCAACCACAGACUUAACUCGAAAAUCAGAAGUUAGGCUAAAGAAUUUUGAGGCAGCAAAAGCAGAACUAGAUAAACAAACAUUCAAAGACAACAAAAGCAUAACAUGGAAUGUCAUAGCCCAGAUAUAAAAACCAAUAAAAGGCCUAGCAUGGCCAAACAUAAUAAUAGUAACAGAGAGAAGAGGAGAUUGCCCGGAAACCGAUCACCUGGCUAAACAUAAUUUUCUACCAUACAUGUUACAAUCAAUUUAAAGAAUUACAGCAAAAAGAUAGAGGAACACCACAAAAUUUGUUGCAAAAACUGAGUUGAGAGAACAAUUCCCCUAUCAGAGUAACUAUGACAAAAAAGCUUCAUUUGGACAUAGAUCCAUAGCCAAUAAAAAAGAGUUCAUCAUUUAGGGGGUCAAGUGAAUGUGACAAAUUAAAACAGUCUUUACUAUUUUAAAAAUCAACCACAGCUUCAACUCAAAAACCAGAAGUUAGGCUUGAGAAUUUUGAGGCGCAAAAGCAGAACUAGCUAAACAAACAUUCAAAGCCCACAAAAAGAUAAACAUGGAAAUGCAUAGCCCAGAUAUUCGAAACAAUUUACCUUUUUUCCAGGCCUCACAAGCCUCAAGGCCACUUCAGCAGCAGUAUUUGCAGCAGCAACAACAUCAGCCUGCUUACCAGUGAUUGGCCCGCUCUGAACAACAUGAGUAUGAGCAACUACCGCAAUAAACCCAUCAAUGUGGCAACCCAUGUCACUACAUUCAAGGUAGGGACAAACGAAAACAAACAAUUCAGUUGCCACUCAGAACAAGAAGUCCCCAUUAAAACAUUUAACAUAAAUGCUAAUAUAAAGCUUACAUCUUGACCAUAUCACCUUCUUCCAACUCCGAGGUGUCACUAGCAAGUGGAGAGAAAUGGCAGACUGUGUUGUUUACAGAGAGACAAGUAGGGAAGGCAACACCCCUCUCAAUCUUCUUCUUAGAAUUCUUGUACAUGUUACCUGUUUGCCUUUACAUUACACAAACAAAAAACCAUAAAUUUACUAAUUUCAUUAUCAAUUUUCAAACAUAUAUCCAAUAGCAAUUAAACACUUACUCUCUUAUAAAUGCAUCACCCUUCUCACAAAUGUCAACAAUCUUAGCUUUGGGCUUACAUUCUUUUACAACUAAUUGUAACGCUUCUGCAAAUUUCCAAACACAACAACAAAAAAACAAAAUAUUAAACAGCAAUUACAUUAAAAACACAUUUCCAAUAAGCUAAAGGCGAAGAGAUUAACUGUUAACAAUCUCAGCAGCGCCCUUGUAUUUUGUAACAACUUCAGAGGAGCUGAGAUCCAGCUCCUUCUCCUCUCUCUCGUCGUCUGACAUCGCUUUCGAGUCUUAUCAAGAAUCUAUCUAAUUGCUGCAAAAAUAAAUAAAUAAAAAUUCUAAAAAAAAUAAAUCUAUAUCUGAAAAUCAGCUGUAAUAAUCGAAGAGUAAAUCAAGAGAUUGAAAUUUUUAAAAGAGCUCACUGUUGAAAUUGGCGGCGGCGAGUGAAAGCGCUAGGGUUUUGGAGGGAGUAUAUAAACUAAAAUAGGAAGGGCGGGUGGUGAGUAGUGAAGUAGAGAGUUAGGGUUACGGUUCUUUACGGCAGCGUUUGGUUAUAUAGGAAAAUUUCGCUUUGCAGUGACUCGCUAGGGUUUUCUAUUUUUGUAUUCGGUUUUCGGUGUAAUAAAAAAGAAAGGGCUAAUUGUCUGCAUACUCCUUCCAAUUAUUUAAUUUCACUACUCUGACCCCUCCAUUUUUCAAAUUUCAAUUGUAAAAUUAAAAGAAAAGUAAAAACAGGUGGUUGAAGAGGGGAGUAUGAACUGUGCCAGUUUAAGUUUAAAAUUAGGUUUAUGUAUAAUAUCAAUAUCAUAAAUAAUUGUUUAAUUUUGUAAUGGUUCGGAAUUUAAAAUUUUAGACAAUUUUGUUUAUAUUAUUAAUAAAUUAUUAAAUUUUGUUUAAAUUUAUCUAUAUAUAUUUUAAGGGACACUUAAAAAAUUAUCAUGUGUGCAAAGAUAUGUCGGAAUUACGAUGAGGAUAAGCUUUAAGUGGAGAAUUUACCUUUGGAAGCUAUGCGGUGCUUCGAAAUUGAUGGUCGGAGGCUGCACUUGUUGGAUUAGAUCGGGCUCUCUCUUCGGUUUUGGCAGUGGAGGUCUGAAACGUUUAUUUUGUCAUCUCAGAUGUCGUGCAUGUCAAGUUCUGAACACAAUCUCUAGUGAUUCUUUCUCAUGGGUGAAGCUCUGUUGUGUUUUUCUCUUCUGUUUGUUGGACUUCGAUCAGGAUCAGGGAAGGGUUUUUAUGAAACUUGUUAGAAUUGUGUGACCCAAAUUCUAAGAGAUUGCUUGCAAGUCAAGUUAAACAAAAAUAUAUUUUCUUUCUAGAAGAUUUAGUAUUUAUUAGUAUAAUAUAUUUAGCAUUUAUUAGUAUAGUUUAUUUGACUUACUAAUUUAGCCUAUAAAUAGGCUCCUUUACAAUCUUAGAAAAAGAGACACCCAUUAGAUUAGAACUCAUAACACAUUCAGAGAAUUUUGUGUUUACGUUUGAGGGUUCUUUGUUUUUUCGGGUUUUCGGGGUUUAGUUUUUAUCUCCAUCUUUUGUACUUUUCAUUCUUUUGCCAUUAUAGUAAAAUUAUCUUUGCCCGUGGUUUUUUAUCCUCUUUUGAGGGGUUUUUCUACGUUAAAUUUGUGUGUUCAUCUUCUCAAUUUCUUCUACUAUUUUUACUUGUUCGUUGCUUAAUCGGGACGAUCCUAACAAGUGGUAUCAGAGCUAGUUUAACUUUCAUAGAUCAGCCCGGUCAGAGAUGGCAGCAACAAUGUUUGAAAUUGAGAAGUUCGAUGGUGAGACAAAUUUCAAUCUGUGUCAAGUUCGGAUGAUGGCAAUUCUAGUUCAAAAUGGCUUGAAAAAGGUUGUUACAGGGAAAAAGCCUGAGAAUCUAAAUCAAACAGAAUGGGAAGAGCUUGAUGAAAAGGCCUUGUCUGCAAUCCAGUUGUGCCUCGCGAAUACAGUAUUGCAGAAGGUAUUGAUGGAGAAGACCUCAUUCGCCUUGUGGAAAAGGUUAGAAACUCUUUAUGCGACUAAGUCUCUGGCUAACCGUUUAGUGUUGAAACAACGUCUAUUUACGUUUCGCAUGAACGAAUGUGAGCUUCUUAAAGAUCACAUCAGUCAAUUCAUUACUCUUUUAAAUGAUUUAAAGAACGUUGAGGUUCAUAUUGACGAUGAAGAUCAAGCUAUGCUAUUAUUGUGCUCUUUACCCUCUUCAUACAAGUCUUUCAGGGAGACCCUGAUUUAUGGCAGAGACAAACUCUCGUUCGAAGAUGUGAAGGGUCAUUUGUUGAGUAGAGACAAACUCGACAAUGAGUUUGAUUUGAAUAGCAAAGCAGAUAGACAAGCUUCCGUUUUGGUAGUAUCAAAGAAACGAGACAAAAGGUGUCGCUAUUGCAAAAAGUUAGGUCACGUCAAAGCAGAUUGUUAUAAACUGCGAAAUAAAAGAGCUGCUGAGAGUAACGAGGAAGAUGUAGCUGGUGCUAAUUUGGUCGAUGAAGGCGGUGAUGAUUUCUUGUUAGUGUCAACGAGCGAUAACUCCAAGCUUACGUCUGAGUGGAUCCUAGAUUCAGGAUGUUCUUUCCACAUGUGUCCCAAUAGAGAAUGGUUCUCCACAUACAGUUCAGUUGAAGGUGGAGUUGUGCACAUGGGAAACGAUUCAUCUAGUAAAAUAAUCGGUAUUGGUACUGUUAAAAUUAGGAUACACGAUGGGACGAUUAGGACACUCUCAGAUGUCAGGUAUGUACCUGAUUUACGAAAGAAUCUCAUCUCCUUGAGUAUUUUAGACUUGAAAGGAUGCAGAAUCAACAUCGAGUCGAGCGACAUUAAAGUAUCUCGUGGAGCUCUCGUUUUGUUAAAAGGUAAAAGAACCGGCAGUCUUUAUAUUCUGGAAGGUUCUACAGUGACCGAUGAAAUCGGACGUCCCUCGUCCGUUACGGAGUCAAAGUCAACUCAUUUGAAGCGGAGGCAACUUGGUCAUAGGAGGGAAAAAGGUAUGACCGUUUCGUUGAAGAGAGGUUCUCUUUUGGAUGCAGGUUUUGAAAAGUUAGGGCACUGUAUUCGUGAAAAUCAGACCCGGGUUAGUUUUGAUUUGGCAGUGCACAAGUCGAAGGCUAGAAAGUCUUCCAGCUUCUAAGCAUAGAUUCGACUCAGUUAAUUCCCUGCAUAGUUCAAGAUAGGCCCGUGGCGGGUUUUGGCAAAGAUGGCAUUGAAAGAAUUUGUGUCAAGGUGGAGAUUGUUAGAAUUGUGUGACCCAAAUUCUAAGAGAUUGCUUGCAAGUCAAGUUAAACAAAAAUAUAUUUUCUUUCUAGAAGAUUUAGAAUUUUUUAGUAUAAUAUAUUUAGCAUUUAUUAGUAUAGUUUAUUUGACUUACUAAUUUAGCCUAUAAAUAGGCUCCUUUACAAUCUUAGAAAAAGAGACACCCAUUAGAUUAGAACUCAUAACACAUUCAGAGAAUUUUGUGUUUACGUUUGAGGGUUCUUUGUUUUUUCGGGUUUUCGGGGUUUAGUUUUUAUCUCCAUCUUNNNNNNNNNNNNNNNNNNNNNNNNNNNNNNNNNNNNNNNNNNNNNNNNNNNNNNNNNNNNNNNNNNNNNNNNNNNNNNNNNNNNNNNNNNNNNNNNNNNNNNNNNNNNNNNNNNNNNNNNNNNNNNNNNNNNNNNNNNNNNNNNNNNNNNNNNNNNNNNNNNNNNNNNNNNNNNNNNNNNNNNNNNNNNNNNNNNNNNNNNNNNNNNNNNNNNNNNNNNNNNNNNNNNNNNNNNNNNNNNNNNNNNNNNNNNNNNNNNNNNNNNNNNNNNNNNNNNNNNNNNNNNNNNNNNNNNNNNNNNNNNNNNNNNNNNNNNNNNNNNNNNNNNNNNNNNNNNNNNNNNNNNNNNNNNNNNNNNNNNNNNNNNNNNNNNNNNNNNNNNNNNNNNNNNNNNNNNNNNNNNNNNNNNNNNNNNNNNNNNNNNNNNNNNNNNNNNNNNNNNNNNNNNNNNNNNNNNNNNNNNNNNNNNNNNNNNNNNNNNNNNNNNNNNNNNNNNNNNNNAAACCUCAAAUCUAAAAUUUUUACAAUUUAUUUUUUAAAUUAUUUAUUUUAAAUUAUGUCAUAUAAAAUCUUUCUCAAUAUUCACAAUUAAAUUAACAAUUUUAAUAACAAAAAAACCUUAUUAACAUAACAUUAAUAGUUUAAAGGUGUUUAAUGCAAUUAACUCAUUAUUAAUCAGUUAUUCUUCUCAAUUAAAUUAAUAUUUAUUUUAAGAAAUUUACAUAAAUAUUAAAGAAAGGAUUGUAUAUAACGUUAUGUCACAUCAAUAAUUUCAUCCUGAAUUUUAAGAUGAAAACGCUAUGUGACAUUAAACUAUUGAAAGAGAGAUACAGAUAACGUAACGUCAUUAUUUCAUACAAUUAUUUUCCAAAUACAAUAUUAACUAAAAAAAAUAUAAAUCUCACUUAAAAAAUCUUCCUUUGUUCCCUAAACCAUUUUUGGUAUAGUUGUAUGAACAGUUAGCAAACACGUUUUGACUAGACAACAAAAACAAAGGUCAAUAGGCAUGAUUUUGAUUGUUUGGGGGAUUAAAACUGAACUCGAUAAAUAAAAUUAAGUUCCGUGAUGGUUCCAAAUCCAAAAAAAGUGUGACACUAAAGUAAAAAAGAGACACUUGAAUUAUUCAACUUGUUUUUCUUCUCCUGUAAGAUUUCAAAAGAAAACACGUGGGCAUUGGCAACGCCGGCAAAUAUCAAUCACUUCGUUUGUCCAUGAGCUUAGCUCAAAUCAUCUUAUCCAGGUUCAUCAAAAUGUCUGCGCCCCAAUAUUUAUCCACUGCAUUGGAUAACUAUGCCGACAUACAGAUGUGUAUAGUUUAGUUUCUUACACAACAGGACAUGCAUUGAGGUAACAUUUGAUCAUUAGUGUCAGAUCAUUGAAGCCAGUUCUACUGCUGUCAGAACCGACAUUUUAUGUCAUAAUGGACCUUGUUAUUGGACAUAUAUAAUUAUUGAUCUGCUAUAUAUAAUCCCAGCCUUAGAUGUAUGUCGACUGGUGUAGAAUCAAUUUAGUUAAAGAGCACAUUUAUUACGAGUGUUUACUGACUUUUCGUAUUUAAUAUAGACAAGAACUGGUUUGAAACUUGAACGGUCGAAAUUAAAUAACAUAUUUUUUUGAGCAUAUGCAGUCGACAUAUGCAAAGUGUUUAAUUUAAAAUGGAAUUCUACAAAUAUAGUAUAUUUUUUUUGAAGGAUAAACUAUAUUCAUGGUCACUUUUGUUUACCUUAGGUUAUAUUUUAGUUACUUAUGUUUGAAAUGUUACGUUUUUGUCACUUAUGUUAUCGUGUUGUAACAUUUUAGUCACUGAGCUAUUAAUUGUCGCUAACCAUGUAACGGUAAGUUGAUGUGGUACGUUAAAUUAUCAUUUCAAACAAAAAUUUUAGGGUAAAUUAUACAAUCGAUCCUCAUAUUUUUUUUAUUUUGAGCAAUUUAAUUUUUUUUAUGUUCAUAUUUAAUUUUUUAAUUUUUUCCCAUUAUUUUAUGUUUCUCCUUAUAUUUUAUUACAUUCUCCAUUUCUUUUAACAUAUCAAGAAGUCGAAUUGGCAGUAAAGAAAUAAGUAGGAAGUCAAAAACCAUCACUGCCUAUAACCAAAACCCAUUAAACCCAUACCAUGCUUUUUUCUUCACUGCCAAUUCGACUUCCUGAUAUGUUGAAAGAAAUGGAGAAGGUAGGAAAAUAGAGGGAAAAGCAGGAGAGAAUGGAAAAUAAUGAAAAAAAAAGUUAAAAGAACAUAAAAGUAAAAAUUAAAUUACUCAAAAUGAAAAAUAUGGGGACCAAUUGUAUAAUUUAACCUAAUUUUUUUGUUUAAAAUGAUGAUUUAACACGCCACAUUAGCUUAUCGUUAUACCGUUAACGACAAUUAACGGCUCAAUGACUAAAAUGUUACAACACGAUAACAUAAGUGACUAAAACGUAACAUUUCAAACAUAAGUGACUAAAACGUAACCUAAGGUAAACAAAAGUGACCAUGGGUGUAAUUUACCCUUAUUUUAACCUCAAUUUUUACAGUGGGAGAUAUUAAUUUUUUUGUGAGAGAACAGUUAUCUAUAUUAAACUAACAUAAUUGAGAAUUUGUUAUUCUAUUAAUCUCAAGAACAGGUGGUAGCACUUCAAUAAUGUCUUCAAAGUCCUACAUAUUUGUACUCUUUGUUGUAGCUAUAUUCGUAAUACGAUCAGUGGUUUGAUUCUUCUCUCUUGGAACAUGCUUUAUCUUCCAAUGUUGUCUAGCUUGUAGACUCAUGUGGACUCUUCGUAACAAAGCUGAGGAUGAAUCUGUCAAAUGAAUAUCUUGAAUAGCUUUCACUACUUCUAAAUUAUCUGUAUGGAUCACAACUUUUCUGUAUCCCUUCAAUGGAUGAGGGUUAGAUCAUUUAGAACACCCUAGAGUUCAACAUCGAAAACUGAGUAUAGCCCCAAAUAGCGAAUGAAUCCAACGAUCCAUUCCCCUUCUUGCUUAUACGCUAUCUCUCUAGCAGCCACAAAUCCUACAUCCAUCUUAACAGCCCUUUAUCAGUGUACAAGUGGAUCCAAUUACCUGUCAUAGAAGAAUCAUGAGCCGCUUCAAUGUGUUCUGACAAAUCACUCUUAUGAGCUAAAAAAUAUUAUUUUGCCUAACACACAGAAGACUUAAUAAUUUUAAUAAAGUUCCAAGUUAUCAAAUAUUUAAGAAUAUUUAAAUUUACAUAUUUUAAGUUAUAAUAAUAACGAUGUAAAUUAAUUACACUAAAAACUUAAUCAAUCAAAUGUGGUAUAAUUAAAUAGAAAGUAGAUUUGUAACUUGAAUAUUAAUUUAAUUUAUUUUUAUAUUAUAGAAUUUUAAAUCUAUUUGUGUGUUGAUAUUAUUUUUAUUUUUUUUUUAUAUUUUUAGAGUAUCAUGUUAAUAAUAUGAAAGUAGUAUUCUUUGAAUACCAUUGAUUAGAUAGCGACUAUUGAAGAGUGAUUCACCCUCAAUAUUUUUUCCCGUUUUGAAGAGAGCGAAAUUACGUCUCACAUUGCUUGAAUAGGCAAAACAAUGGCUGCUGAAGUGCUUUGGACAUGGUAAAACUUGAUCCAUGACCUUAAUAAGUAUGGUAGUAUUUGGUCACUACCCCAAAUGCCACACUUCCGGUGCUCGUGGGAGUUUCUUGGUGCCAUAGUUGAAAGAUGGAGAUUGAAUACCCAUACAUUUAAUUUUCCAUUCAGUGAGGGAAUGAUAAUUUCCAAUCUAUGAAGAAGCAAUAAGGAGAGAACAUGCAUUACCCAGUGCUGCCAGUACUGUAGGACUAAUGGGCACAAGUUUUUUAGGUGAAAAAUAUCUUAAUGGUUAUUUUGUUUCAUUUAAACAUUUGAAAACACUACUGCUAGCUAAAAAUGCAACUAUCGAUAAGUUCGAUAAAUACUCCAAUGUGUACAUGCUCUACAUGAUUGUAGGAACAUUGACACUAGACACGUUUGACUUUUUUUUGUGUAUUGCAUGCAUCUCCCUUUCUAUCAAAUUUCGAUAUAGUUGGAUUAUUUAGCUAGGGGUUUGAGAUUUUAGUUUAUAUUUUUAGGGGGCUUUGUAGGAUGACCUGUAAUGAUCAAUGAAAUAAAUGGUUGUUGUCUACUCCUACAGGAAUGGGAUGGAUGGUCAUUUGCCCUACCUAGCACCAAUUACCAUAUAAGCAUUUAUACGUUUUUCCUCUCACGAAAGGGUAAAAAUAUUAUGUGCCUUACAUUUAAAUUUGGAACAUACUAAUUCUAUCAAGGACUUUUGAUGGAUUCAAUAAGAAAUAGAUGACCAAUAUGCAUAUGAACAAGUUGUUAAUUGGUAUAUUCAUAUAUAGUUAUUAUAAUUUACUAUCAUAAAUUCAUAUAACUGUGAUUUUUUUUUUAGUUAUGGUGGGGGUUGUACUGAGAUUGUGAUAUUAUUGUCAUUGUACCAUUGGAAAAAUACGAGCAUGGUAAUUUGGGGAGAGGGUCAAGAUCGCUAAUAAUCUUCUACAUCGUCGAGUGAUGACAUAUAACUGAGUGAAAUAAUAGUUUAGGUUGGUGCAAGAUAUCCAAUGAGAGUCAAUGAAUCUCGAGGAGUGAUAACUCUCAUAUUUUAUAGAUAAUUUUAACAUUUAAGUUGGGUUUUAUUAUAUUUUAUAGUUUUUCGGAUUAAUUAUGUUUUUUUUUUUAUUUUAAUUAUUUUUGGAGUUAGUUUGGAUUUACUAGCUAUUUUCAUUUCUAUAUUGUAGGUCACGAAAAUGGAAGACUUUAAGACGUAAAAAGUAGUGAAGAGAAGUCUUCCGCUAUUGGAAUUAAUUCAGUACGGUGGAGCACAAUCUUCAAUUCAAAAAUUUUGACAGCAAAUAGUCCGCUCCACCGUACUUUCUACGUCCAAUGGAGCAGCGCGAUUAAAACCAUAAAAAAAAAGUGGCAUGAUUUAAGAAGGAAAAGAAAGGGAAAGAGAAAAUCAAAGAUCAUAUCCUUUUAUUUUAUUUAUUUUUCGUUUUUGGGCACUCUAAAAUUGCAUGCGUAAAUUUGGGUUAGAUUCUUUAAUAUCGUUCGAUUUGUAAAUUGAGAGAACCUGUUUCCAAAAUCAAAGAGCAACUAAACAAGCUAGAGUAUAACCAAUUGAGAUGGAUCUUGCUAAUCUUGAGAAUCCUGUCAACUUGGAGGCUGAGAACAACUCUCUCACAUCAAGAGAACUUUUAAUAAAUUUUUUGAGAUUGAUUUGAGAAGGGGUCAAGAUAAGAAUCAAGUUGAUUUUCAUAUAUAUAUAUAUAUAUAUCAAGAAUACGACUUAGUUUAGAUUAAAUGAUAAACUAUAAAUCGGAUUGCUCGACACUCUUUCGUUGAGUUCAUGAUCACACGAUGUUCAACACUCUUGUAUAUUCUACUGCUCAUAACCUAAAACAUUGUGGACACAUUACAAACUUGAUAGUAACUAAAAUAUAACUGUUAAUACACUCAAUGUUAUUUCACGUGUGAUUUAUUGUGUGCCAAACAUGAUCGCAACAACAAACAAGUGAUAUCCUUUCAUAAGAAUUAUUGGUGGACAAUUUUUUGAUUUUGUGAUAAUCUUUUUAUUUUAAAUAUUUUAUAAGCAACAUAAUUGUCGGAUUUUUAUUUGCAUUUAAAAAGAAAUUUGUCCCUAUUAUUAAAAAGGGAUCAGUAGUUUUGGAAGAGUAGUCUUGGCCCAAGCAUAAUACUUGAAAAAGAUAGGCAUGGAGAUAAUGCUUUGUUAUCCCCACUUUACACAGAAUUUAUGCAGAAAUUUGAUUAGUCGACCUCAAAGCUUAUAUAGAUGAUCUAUUUCAUCGGUUAUUGAUGGGAACUAAGUGGGCACAUAGCUUCAUAGUAAAGAACUAUUAUUGAGUGAUAUUGUAUUAUACCUUUGAGUGUUGUAUUCACUUAUAGUACGUAGGUAAACUGAGUUGAGGCAAGGUCCACUUAAAUGUACAAAAGUGAGGCUGUAUCGACUGAUUAAGGGUUUGGGUUUAAAUCAUUUCUUUAUAAAGUAAAAUUUAUAGUGGAUUCAUCUUUAAGUAAGGCCUCACAAGCAUAAGAUGAGCUCUAAAUUGCGUGAACUUCUUGAUUGUGUUCAUUAUUGUUUUUUAGUUUCGCUUGUUGUAUAGUGUGUGACAACUGACAACACAUGAAAAAACACAAUACUGCUUUUCAAUGUUGUAUUUUAAUAAUUUCUUAAGAUUAUGGAUGAAAAAUAAAACUUUAAUAAAAGGUGAUGGACUAUAAGGGAAUUGUACUUAUUUGAUUAAAAAAAUGAAAAUUUAAAUUUGGUGAUAUUUAAUAGGUUAAAUUAUGCUAUAAGUUUCUAUACUCUUUGUAAAUUUUAAAUUUAGUCAUUGCACUUUUAUUCUAGGAAUUCAGUCCCUUUAUUUUUCAAAAUUUAAAAUUCAGGUUAAAUUGCUAACGCUAUUAAAGUUUUUCUGUUAAAUUUCCAGGUGUGACAUUAAAAAAAAAAACUCACUUAAUAGCCAUGCUGCUAGAAAUUGUGUAAUCCGAAUUCUGUCACUUGUUCAAGAAAUGGAUAUAGAGGGAAAAUAAGGGAAUCUGUAGGGGCGAAAGGCCGUACAACACAAGUUGAAUCUGUAUAGAACUAUUCUUCUUCUACUUGACUUUGAUUAAAACAAGGUUUUUCAACCCUAAAAUAGAUGUAGUCGAAACUCCUCUUGUAUCAUUCGUUUUUCAACAUUAGUGAAUUUUCUCCUCCUCUACCCGUAGAUUUUUCCCAAAAGGGUUUCCACGUAAAAUCUAUGUGUUUUUUCUGUUCUUUUCUUUACAAUCGUUCUAUCACCAUUAUCGACGUUUAUUAUAACACAUGUAACUAAAAAAGUGAUAGUUAUAAUGAACUUGAAUUUGACAAAAUAAUUUAAUCUUAUUAACAAUUGGACUUGAAUAUUUAAAUCUAAAAAGUAGAAAAACUAAACUCUUUAAAAUAAAAGUGGGACUAAAUUCUAAAUAUACGAAAAAUAUAGGAACUAAAAACAUAUUUUAACCUAUUUAAUAAAAAGUAAUUUAAAACAUAUGUAAACCUUUAGAAUGAAAUAAUAUUAAAAAUUUUAAUAUAUUUUAAACAGGAACGUGGACUUUUCAAAUCCAAUGUGAUCCAAGUAAAUUUUGUGUCCCAAAGAAAUAAAUUUAAUAAAAAGUAAAUAAAAUAUUAAUGUAGCAUAAAUUAAUAGAAAAUGUCAUUUUUUUUAGAAAAAAAAAACAUGUUUCGUGAGCGAAGUGGCAGCAUCAUGAAAUUAAGUGCAGCAAAUGAAUAUGGAAAGAGAUGAAACAUAACUAAACAACUAGAAGGAACAGUGAGAAAAAGGUAUGGCCGACAUCACUGGAACAUUACCAAACUUAAAAAGCAAUUCAGAGAUAGGGAAUUAAAUCACGUGUACAACAUUGUCCAACAUCAAAAAGAAAAAGGCAAAAAGUUUCCCACAGGUCAGAAGUCACGCCCACGUGAUUAUAUCACCUCUCUUUCGUUGCCUUUACCCCUUUCGGUUUUUUUUUUUCAAUUUAGGCUAAAUUCUUAAUACGGUCAUUUUUAUUUGACUUAAGUUACAUUUUAGUUAUUUAUAUUUGAAAUAUUACGUUUUAAUUAUUUUUAUUAUUGUUUUGUUACGAAAUGAUCACUCUGCCAUUAGAUUUUAUUACCUCUCAAAUGAUAGUUCGACGUGAUAGUUAAAACGAGUUUUAAAUGUCAACGUGCAUAUCCAUCAAAAAUGAGAAAAGUUAAUUUUUUUUAUGAAAAUAGAGCACAAAAGUUUGCUCUGAAACCUAAUUUUCUCCUGUUUAAAAAGAAGUAACAGUUGGGUUUUUUGUUCUUUGUUGUUCUGCUCUUCUCUUCUCUUAUGAUAACAAAAAAAAAAAAUCCAAAUGUUGCUUCUUUUUUAAUUGGAGAAAAUUGAGUUUAGGGCAAAAUUCUGUAUUCUAUUAUCAUAAAAAAAUUGUAACUUUUCUCAUCCAAGCUAGACAUCCACGUUAGCAUUUAAAACCCAUUUUAACUGUCACGUCGGACUUUCGUUUGGGAGGUAAUAGAUUUUAACGGCAGAGUGACCAUUUAACAAUAACGUAAGUGACUAAAACGUAAUAUUUCAAAUAUAAAUGACUAAAAUGUAAUCUAAGGCAAACAAAAGUGACUAUUUUGAUCAUUUACCCUUCAAUUUAUAGGUAUUAUCCUUUUCUAUUGAUUAAGAUAAUUAACUUUGAAUUUAUACCAUUAAUUCUUAUUUGACUUUUUUUUUUUGGUAAAAAUUUGAUUGAAUAACAUGUGAAAAGAAUGACCUUAGUUAAAAUUGAAAAUAAUACAUAAGGAAUAACUUGGGAUUUUUGAAUAUAAUAUAUACGAAAGGAAUUCAUUUACGUAAUUUUUUAAAAUUGAAUUAAUAUUUAAUAUUUUAUGUGAUUCAAAACAACUAUUACCGUACUAAAGCAUAUCUCUUUUGAAGAAAUUAAACCAUUAAAAGGUAGCAUGCGGAAGAUGAUUUUUUGACCCUUUCCCAUGCCUGCUUUUAAGAAUAAACAAUAUUAUAAUAUAUAUAUAUAUAUAUAUAUAUAUAUUGCUUAAUUAGCAUUAAGAUUGGAGUUCACAUUGUUGGGUGGAUGCUUGAUAUAUCCCAAUCAUACAUUAUAUAUAUUUGUGCUUCUAAAGGGAUGUUUAUAAAAAAUAAACUCUGUUUGAUCUAAUAAUAUUGCUGUAAUCAAAUCCUUGUUAUGGAAUAAAUGCUUUUCGAUUCAUUUGGACCUCUUAAUAAUAUUAUAAAAGUAGAGAGAUCAAUUAAUAGUUGUUAGGUCGACCGGUAAGAAGCUCGAUGCUCCUUAAGUAAGGUUUUUUGAGUUCAAGUCUUGUAAAUGGAGACAACAAUGUAGCAAGAGCUUUUCCCCUAUUUAGAGGUUUUAUUAGGCUCAAAUUUGAAUUUUGUUGAGGUCAAAUAAAAAAAUAGAGGGGCCAAACUUUUUUAAAGUAGUGGGAUUAAAUCAUUAAUUUUAACAUCGUAGAAGGAGUAAAAUCAUAAGUAGUCUUAUAUUUUGUUAAAAUAUAAAAUAAAAUAAAAUAAAAAUCUAUUAGUGUAAGUGUUCCAUGAUUUCUGGAAGACCUUGUUGUAACAAUUGUAACCACAAUUUAUGUAACAAAUAGUGAUGUGUUUUGGAUGGCAACUUUGACUUGUAUUUAUCUCUUUCUUGAAAUUCAGUGGUGGCAAACAUAUGAAUUAUAUUUGUGAUUGGAAACUAGGUGAUAGAGAUUUCUUAAUUAGUUUGAUUUAUCCGUACUCUGUUUAUGGAUAAACAUAUGGUUGACGUAGGAUGAGAUUGUUGAUUCUUAGGAAUUAUAUCUUGCCAUCUUUAGGUAACAACUAAGGUGAGAUCUUAUUAGCAAACCAACAACAAAAUCCAUAGUAACUCGUUACCACUUCUGCUCGAGUAUUGAUAUGGGUUGCACCAAUCCCAAAGGAACUUGAUACUUUGCUUUUACUUGUUGGCAUACUAAACACUUGGCUAUAUACUCAGUGAUGUCCUUCGUUUCGGAUCACCUAUAAAAUGACCUCAAAUCAUUGUACAUAUUGUUGCUUUCCGGGUGCAUAGCAUAAGAAAUAUGGUGAGCUUCCAAGAGAAUGUCUUGUUUCAAAUUGACAUCAUACGGAACACACAACCUCUUUUGGAAGUAUAAACUUCCAUCAUCACCUAAAAUGAACUCACAGUUUGACCAUCCUUAACGAGUUUCCAUUUUGCUUCCAUCUUGCCAUCACGUAUUAGUAACUUUUGUAGUUUAAUUUUUAAUUCCUUCAACUUGGUUAAAGUCAUUCGGUAUGGUGCAAUAGAAAUUUGUGGAGUCCCCGAUGCCACUUUUAUAGCAAACUUAACCUUCGUAUUCGGUGGUAAUCCUAGUAACUCUUCGAGAAACACAUAUGAAUUUUCAGAAACAACGGGGGCCUCCUCAAACUUUGAUUUAGAGACCUUAGUAUCAAGCACAUAGGCUACAUAAGCUUCACACUUAUUCCUCAACAAAUUCUGAGCCGACAUGGCCAAAAUUACAUUAGAGAGACACUUAGACUUCUCCUUCAUAAAAUUCACUUCAAUACAUUUGGGGGUUUCCAAGGUUUUUCAAUUUACAAUUCAUUAUAGCGUCGUGAGUGAUCAACCAAUCCAUACCAAGAAUCACAUCAAAUUCAUUAAACAAAUGUGUCAUAAGAUUGGCCAGAAACUCAUACCCCUGAACUUUUAAAGGGCAACUCUUAUACACUUUAUUAACAAUAACACUCUGACCUAACGGGCUAGUCACACAUACAUCAAACUCAAUAAACUCAACUAGAAUACUCUUUUCCUCAACCAAUGCAGUGAAAAUGUAUGAAUGAGUCGACCUAAGGUCAACUAAUUCAUGUAUAGAUAAAUCAAAUAAGGAAAAUAUACUAGUAAGGACGCCGAGUGCAUCUAUUUCAUCCCUAGCCUUAAUGGCGUAGGCUCUGGCUGCUGACCGAGACUCUAAUCUAGUAGAAGCUCCCCUCGAAAUCCUCUAAUUACUCCCGUGUAGUUGCUCACCCUAGUCCCCCUACCUCACUAAGCUGUGGGAUUAGAUCUUGCAAAAUGAACCAAGGCAUGUCAACUCUCUUUGGGCAAUCCUUCACCUUAUGAUCUUUAAGCCGCAACAAACAUCCCCUAUUAAUCUUCCAACAAGUGUCGGUGUAGUUCUUACCGCAUUGAUUACAAAUCGAUAUUGGGGUUCCUCUCACACUUCUAAUACUAGCAACAGAUAUAGUUUCUGGCCCUCGAUUGCUAUACUUUGGUUCUCCCCUCCUUUGAAGCUAUAAGAAACGGAUGAGUGACCUCUAAAAUCCUUGGCCCUUUUGGUCGAUGAUAGUAAGAGUGAAUUAGCAAUACCUCUCCUAUUGAAGUCUCAACCCUUAAACUUGGCCUCCAUUUGUAGGCUUUUUUAUCUUCCAUCUUUUGUGCCCUUUCAAAUAGUGUGGGAGAG